AAAUGACCAGAUAAGAUUAAAAAAGAAAAAAAAAUGAUUCGAUUACCUUUGAAAAACGAGAUUCGCUUUUUAUUUCUCUGUUUCAAAAGGAUUACAAUGGUUCGUGCUAUUCUAUUAGGUAAAUCCCUAUACCUUCUUUUUUUGUUUCUCUUUGCUUCUAAAAACUCUCUGUUUUUUGAUUCCCUGCUAUUCUUCUCUCUGCUUUUGUGUGGGUGUAUUUCUGCUAUCAGGUCUCUCUCCCUACCUAUCUUUUUACAGAUUAAAAAGAAGGCUUUAUAGCCUCGACUACUAUAAGUUUUGGAAAGAAAUCUCCGAUUUCUUUCCGUAUUUGCUUUUCAUGUCUGCUGUGAUUUUCUUUCCUUUUCUUGCAGGUACUUGCGAAAAAUCCGGCAAUGGCAAAGGCUUAAUGAUGGUCCACUGGUAGCGUUGAUCUUGGCAUGACUUGGGGCCUGGAAUCAUGGCCUUGACGGGGUAGCAGGAGCUGAAGAGUCAUGAGGCUUGGCUUCUGGAACCUUCUGUUUGCGGCGCGAGGAGAAAGAGGGCAGAAACCCUAGGGUUUCCUGCCUGGGUCUGUAGAUGUUUGGGCCAAUUGGGCCUCUGGAAAUUUUAGGUGUUUUGGGUUACCAGUCUAUAAUGGGUCCAUUGCAACUGUUUGGGACUUAGUUUAGGCUGGGCUAGUCUAGUAAAAUUAGGCUGUUGGGUCUGUGUAUUUAGGCUUUGUAAAAAAACUUUUAUGGACUGUUUAAAUUAAAUAAAUAAAUAUUUAUUAAUUUUUCAGUUUUAAUAAUCUGGGCAAAUUUUGGUGAUUACAGCUGCCCCUCUUUGCUCAUUGCUAUGUAAUAGGAAUUGAGCAAAGACCAUAAAGGACCAAAUUUGCCCGACCUAGCCCAAUCUUUGCGAUCUUUUCCUCGAAUGUUCUUCUACCUUCUCCCUACGACCUCAAGAAUGCUAUGCUGAUAUCUUUGAUCUGUUUUCUGCUGAACACAGAGACACUGAGUCUGCUUCUUCGAUUUGUAAGGAUGUCAAAUCAUCUUGAGUCUGUUUGAGAACAUUUGAGAAUCAUAUCUGCAAGGUUCUCGACUUGUUCCUUGUAAGCACAAGGAUGCCUAAACCAUCUUGAGUCUGUUUGAGAACAUUUGAGAGUCAUAUCUGCAAUGUCCUCGAUUUGUUCCUUGUAAGCACAAUGAUGCCUAAACCAUCUUGAGUCUAUUUGAGAACAUUUGAGAGUCAUAUCUGCAAUGUCCUCGAUUUGUUCCUUGUAAGCACAAGGAUGCCAAACCAUCUUGAGUCUGUUUGAGAACAUUUGAGAGUCAUAUCUGCAACGUCCUCGAUUUGUUCCUUGUAAGCACAAGGAUGCCAAAUCAUCUUGAGUCUGUUUGAGAACAUUUGAGAGUUAUAUCUGCAACGUCCUCGAUUUGUUCCUUGUAAGCACAAGGAUACCAAAUCAUCUUAGAUCUGCUUCAGUAUAAACAUCUGAAGGUUAGAUCUGCUAUAUUUGAGAACGUCUGAGAGUCAAAUCUGCUAUGUCCUCGAUUUGUCCCUUGUAAGCACAAGGAUGCCAAACCAUCUUGAGUUUGUUUAAGAACAUUUGAGAGUCAUAUCUACAACGUCCUCGAUUUGUUCCUUGUAAACACAAGAAUACCAAAUCAUCUUGGAUCUGCCUCAGUAUAAACAUCUAAAGGUUAGAUCUGCUAUUUUCAAUUUGUUUCCCAUAAGCACAGGGAUGCCAUGUUGAAAUCUUUGAUCUUCAUUGUCCCUUAGAGGAUAUGACCUGUAGAAUGAGUAAGUGCCUAUGCCUAAGUAUGCUAUGAUUGAAAUGAGUCGAAUGUCCUUAACAUGUUAUGAUGUAAAGUGCUGUGAAUGUGACCCCUAUCUCAGGCGUCAUUAUUCAUCCCUUCAUUUGUCUUUCUCAAAAUUUCAGCUUGUAGGCCUUCAUCCAAUGCUAUGAUCUACUAAGGAUGUCUGUAAGAAUUGAAUCAUCCAUUUCUUUUUAGACUGGAAGAAAGAAAUCCCUCGAGUUCCUUCAUCCCUUACUUACGUAAAUUUCUCAAACAAUUGUCCUGUUUUAGUUUCUUGCAUUAUCUAGAAAUUCCAAAGUAAUGUGCAAAACUUCGUUUGUGAAAAUUUUAGUUCAUCUAUCAUUAUUUCAAUGCAACAUUCUUUAAAAAUAUCAGAAGAUGAGUAAAUAUUUGAGAAUAAUUGGAUUCGAAUUGUUAAUAGUACAUAAAAAAUCUUUCGAUUUAUAAAUAAUAUAACUCUUUCUUUGAAUUUUUUUUUUAUCUUUAAGAAGAAAUAGAAUCUAAAGAUAGCAGACAGGAUAAAAAUCAGAUGCUAUAAAUAUCGCCGCUUGAGCAUCUAUACAUUAGCUCCCCAAAGCCUUUUUUUUUGUUCGACAUGUGUUUAAAAGAUCCAAAGUACUUUGUUGAUGCCCCAAUGUACACUGUGCCUCACUCUCUGUCAAGUCAAAUAUAGCAAGGUUGCUGUGUGCCCUUCAAAAUUUGAGCUGCCCUUUCGGGUUUUCAACUCAAAAUCCCUUUGGUCACAAGGUGCCCUUUGUGGGUUUUCACCUUGGCCUCUCUAUUUUUUUUUAAAUUCAAGGCGCCCUUUGCGGGUUUUCACCUUGGAUUCUUUUCGUUUUUAGACAAAGUACUUUUUGACUAAGUCUGAGUUCACCGGAUUAGGUAGGCUCUUUCCAUCCAUUUCUGUCAAAAUCAAUGCACCACCAGAAAAAGCCUUCUUCACGACGUAUGGCCCCUCCCAAUUUGGCAUCCAUUUUCCUCUAAAGUCCUUCUGAAUAGGGAGGAUUUCUUUAGCACAAGGUCCCCCUCAUGGAAUUCCCUUGGACGAACCUUUUUAUCAUAAGCUCGCAUCAUACGCUUCUGGUACAUCUGACCAUGUCGGAUAGCCUUCAGCCUCUUUUCCUCAAUCAAGUUUAGCUGGUCAUAUCGAGACUGAACCCAUUCAGCUUCAUCUAACUUUAUCUCUGUUAAAAUUCGGAGAGAAGGUAUUUCCACUUCAAUAGGUAAAACUGCUUCCAUCCCGUAAACUAAUGAGAACGGAGUUGCCCCAAUAGAAGUUCUAACAGAUGUUCGAUAAGCCAAGAGUGCAAACGGUAGCUUUUCAUGCCAAUCCUUAUAAGUCUCAGUCAUCUUUCCCACUAUUUUCUUAAUGUUCUUAUUGGCAGCCUCCACUGCCCCAUUCAUCUUUGGACGAUAGGGUGAAGAGUUGUGAUGCUUGAUUUUGAACUGGUCGUAAACCUCUGCUAUCAUUUUAUUGUUCAAAUUCAAUGCAUUGUCGGAUAUGAUCCUCUCAGGCAUUCCAUACCGACAAAUGAUUUCUUUCUUCAAAAAUUGACUUACAGCUGACUUGGUAACAUUUGCGUAAGAAGCAGCCUCUACCCAUUUUGUAAAGUAGUCAAUAACUACGAAAAUAAACCGAUGUCCAUUCGAAGCUUUCGGCGAUAUUGGUCCGAUGACAUCCAUGCCCCACAUGGAAAAUGGCCAUGGAGACGUCAUGACAUGUAAAUGUGAGGGCGGUAUAUGAAUUUUGUCCCCAUAAAUCUGACACUUAUGGUAUUUUUUGGCAUAAUUGAUACAGUCUCCUUCCAUAGUGGCUCAGUAAUAGCCAAACCUCAUGAUUUGUCUUGCCAUCGUGAACCCAUUUGCAUGCGUACCACAUACACCUUCAUGGACCUCUUCUAGAAUUAGCUUGGUUUCCACAGCAUCAACAUAUCUCAAAAGUACUUGGUCUUUCCUUCUCUUGUACAAAACAUCCCCGUCCAAAAACAUAGUCACAAGCUAAUCUUCUCAGGGUUCGUUUGUCAUUUUCGGAUGCCUAUGCUGGAUAUUUACGAUCUCUUACAUAUCGUAAUAUAUCCUGAUACCAAGGAUUGUCAUCCUUUUCUUCCUCUUCAAGGUUACAACAGCUAGCUGGAAAUUCAUAGACACUAAUUUGAAUUGGUCUCAUCUCUUCCUCUUUGUUUGCCUUAAUCAUUGAAGCCAAGGUUGCUAAAGCAUCUGUCAUCUGAUUCUCAUCUCAUGGGAGAUAGUUGAAGGUGACGUCAUCGAACUCUCUUAGUAACCCCAAAACUACCAUUCGAUAAUUGAUCAAUUUAGGGUCUCUUGUCUCCCAUUCACCUCUUAGCUGAUAGAUUACCAACGCAGAAUCUCCAUAUACUUCUAGGGUUUUUAUGCCUCUUUCUAUGGCUGCUUAGAGCCCCAUGAUGCAUGCUUCGUAUUCAGCCAUAUUAUUUGUGCAGUUAAAAUCCAACUUGCACGUGAACGGGUAAUGGUCGCCAUUCGGGGAUACCAAGACUGCCCCAAUUCCAUUUCCGACUGCAUUAGAAUCCCCAUCAAAAUUUAGCUUCCAUGGAGAAUCUUCAGUUGCUGCUAUACACAUUAGCUCCUCAUUCAAAAAAUCAAAAUUCAAUGGCUCGUAAUCCUCCAAAGCUCUACUGGCCAAGAAGUCUGCCACCGCACUUAUUUUGAUAGCCUUCUGACUUACAUAGACUAUAUCGAACUCUGAAAGCAAAAUUUGCCAUCUCGCCAUUCUUCCAUUUAGAGCUGUUGAUUCCAUCAUGCAUUUUAAUGGAUCUAAUUUUGAGAUGAGCCAAGUAGUAUGGUAUAGCAUGUACUGUCUUAACCUCCGUGUGGUCCAAAUCAACGCACAGCACAACUUUUCGAUUGGCGAAUAUCUCAUUUCACAGUCAGUGAAUUUCUUACUGAGAUAAUAAAUUGCCUUUUCCUUUUUCCCUGACUUGUCAUGCUGACCAAGCACACAUCCCAUAGAAUUGUUGAACACUGACAAGUAUAGUAUUAACGGUUUAUCUGGACUAGGCGGAGAUAACACUGGAGCAUUCAACAAAUACUGCUUGACUUUCUCCAAAGCAUUCUGGCAUUCUUCAUCCCAAGCACCUUGAUUGUGCUUUCUGAGGCGAUGAAAGAUAGGAUCACAUUUCUCAGUCAAUUGUGAAAUGAACCGAGCAAUGUAAUUCAACCUUCCUAGGAAUCCUCGAACUUCUUUUUGAGUACGUGGUGGAGGCAACUCCCGUAUGGCUCUGACCUUUUCUGAGUCAACUUCGAUUCCCUUUUCACUGACUACGAAGCCUAAUAACUUUCCCGAUCUGGCUCCAAAUGUGCACUUUACUGGAUUGAGCUUCAACUGAAAUUUUCUCAAUCUUAAGAACAAUCCUCUCAAGACCUCAAUGUGUUCUUUUUCUAUUCGCGACUUGGCGAUCAUAUCACCAACGUAUACCUCAAUAUCCUUAUGCAUCAUGUCGUGAAACAAGUUUACCAUGGCUCGUUGGUAUGUUGCCCCUGCGUUCUUCAACCCAAACAGUAUUACUUUAUAACAAAAGGUGCCCCACAAUGUUAUGAAAGUAGUUUUAUCCAUAUCCUCUGGAUGCAUCUUUAUCUGAUUGUAUCCUAAGAAGCCGUCCAUGAAGAAGAACAACGAAUAUCCCGCUAUGUUGUCUACUAAAGUGUCAAUGUAUGGCAGAGGAAAAUUAUUCUUUGGGCUUGCUUUGUUUAGAUCUCAGUAAUCAACGCACAUUCGUACCUUCCCGUCUUUCUUAGGGACUGGUACAAUAUUAGCUACCCAUUCAGAAUACUUCACUUCCUGCAGAAAUCCUGCAUCAAACUGCUUCUUGACCUCAUCUUUUAUUUUCAGGACAAUGUCUGGCCGCAUCCUUCGCAACUUCUGUUGGACCGGUCUACAUUCUUGUCUUAUCGAAAGACGAUGUACUACAAUGUUAGUACUCAAUCCGGGUAUAUCCUGAUAAGACCAUGCAAAGAUAUCCUUGAAUUCCUGAAACAACUCAAUCAAGCUACGCCUUGUGUCAUUAGCGAUCAGUGUUCCAAUUUUCACCUCCUUCCCUUCCUCUAGGGCUACUAUUGCCUCUUUUUCAUGUGGCAUGAUUUGUUUCUCCUCCUGUUUUACCAUUCUUAAUAGAUCGAGAGAUACGCCACAAUCUUGAACAUUUUUAAAAUCCUGAGACUCCUCUAAACACAUAUCUUGCUCACAAGAGAAAUCAGGAACGGCAGUAUUAGCGCUCAUAUCAUUGAUAUCUAGAGACCUGUGAGGGGUAUGAAAGAAUAUACAAAGAAUGAAUGAAUUUGAGAAUGAUCGUUUAUGUGCUAUGAAUAAAAGAAUAAGAAUUGUUAGAAUUUAAAGGAAUAUUGGUUGAUAAAAAUGAGACAAUACUCUUUUAAAUUGGUAAAAGUUAUGUUUUAUUUGAAUAAUAAUAGAUGAACAUAAGCCUAUUUUCGCAAAUGUAAUCUUACUACUCCUAGGCCCUAGAGUAAUAAACAUGUUUCGAGAAUUACUCUGAAAAAUUUCUAAAGACUACAGGAAGAUCCUCCGCAGUCCAAUUGUUCAGAGAGCUCCCCGGUUCGUAAGGGUGAAUACCCUCAAGGUUUUCUUGUCUAAACCACUCAUUAUGUACAACAUUGAUUUGAUAACUCUCUUCUACUAGCAACCCUCCUGACUUAAAGGUUUUGGAUAUAGGUGGGAAUGUCAUCAGUUCCCACUCUACUUCUCCUCCGUUCAAACGCGCAUUCCUUCUUGCUUGACACUUUUCCAUCUCCUGUCUCUUUUGUUUAUGGUCUGGCUUAAAACCCAAACCAAAGCGAUCCUUUUUCUCCGUCAAUUUUGGGACUUGAAUCCCUCAUUGCAACUAUUUUCCUAGUCCUUUUCCUAGCAAUGCCCCUUUCCCCAUCAUUAUUUGCAAGGCCAUCCUUGUUGCUCUAGACAUCUUGGGAACCGACACCUUGCUUCCCUCCGAAAUGAAGGUACCAUUAACAAUUUCCAAGGAACGAAAAGAACACUCAAUAGCCUCCUCAUUUAUCUCCACAUAAGGAGGCUUACUAGUGACGGCUGCUAUGAUGUCUUCCUCUGCAUUGAUGGUUAUCAAGCGUCCAUCUGUCACCAACUUCAAUUUUUGGUGCAGUGAAGAAGGCACCGCUCCUGCCGAGUGUAUCUAUGGCCUCCCCAACAAACAAUUAUAGGAGGGCUUGAUAUCCAUUACCAGAAAGUCAACUUCAUACGUAUUUGGUCUAAUCUCCAGAGGGAUGUCAAUUCGUCCCAUUACUUUCCUUUCAGUUCCGUUAAAGGCUCUUACCACAUUAUGACACGUCUUCAUGUGCGAACUGUCAAUGGGUAAUCUGUUCAAUGUGGAUAAUAGCAGGACGUUUAAAGCGGACCCAUUAUCAACGAGUACACUUGGAAGCGUGUAUCCUUUGCAACGAGUGGUGAUGUGCAAAGCCUUAGUUGACACUAUGCCCCAGGUGGAAUUUCAUCAUCAUUGAAGUAGAUGAAAUUAUCAGCAUUGAUGUUAUUUAUCAACCGCUCCAACUUAUUGACAGAUAUAUCAUGAGUGACAUAUGUCUCGUUGAGUACCUUCAACAAUGCUUCUCGUUGCACUUCAGAGCUUAGCAGUAAGGCUAAAACCGAUAUGCAUGCUGGUUGCUUAUGCAACUGCUCGACCAUACUGUACUCACUAUGCUUAAGAAACUUUAGAAAUUCCUUAGCUUCCUCCUCCCUCACUGGCUCGUUAACAUGUGCUUCACUCUUUUUCUCAAUUUCAGCAUUCUUGGAUUUUAUGGGCUCCACUCUGACGUCCCCCAUAUUAUAACGCUUCUCACUUCGCGUAUGGGAACCUUCCUCUUGUACAUCUUUAGAUGCACUGGCUAUGUUUCCUUCUCUCGGCACCGUCACGCUAUAGUCAUAACUCCAUGGUUCUUUUUUGCUAUCCUUGUAAGGGAAAGGAGUAGGUGUAUGGAUAAUAACCUUGGGCGCUGCUGGUGUCCCCAUUUCAUUAUUCCCUGGCAGGGAGAUAAUGAUCCUUGGUCUACCGGUUCUUUGCUGUUCAAGCACACAUACUUGUUUUUCACUAGAGCUACCUUCAUAAACCUGUAGCUCUUUGUUGUCUAUGAGGCCUUGCACCAAGGCCUUGAAUUCCUCGUAAUCUUCACGGCACUCACCGUAGUCCCACGUGUUUUUAGAGGUCAACAUACCUCUCUUCAUCAUCUCCUCCCAAAUUACCCUCAUAGGCAUCCUUAUCUCAUCAACAUUUUUCUUUUCCCUUUUCUCACCGGCUUCACCAAUGGCAUUUACUCCUUGAUUGUCAUGGUUCGACAAAGGAUUCUCAGUAUUUGAGGUACUUUCAAAUUUUAAAACCCCAUUCUUGAUCAACCUCUCUACGGCUUUCUUGAAUCCAGUACAAUUCUCGAUUGAGUGCCGCGAUAUUCCAGCAUGAUACUAACAUCUAGCGUUUGCAUCAUACCAUUUAAGAUACGGAGGUUGUAAUGGUUUUAAAUGGAAAGGGGCUAUAGCAUGCGCAUCAUAUAGAUUUUGAUAGAGCUCCCUAUUCGUUAUAGGUAUAGGCGUAAAUUGCAUCCUCUCAUGCCUAAUGUUGGAUUCCUGCUUUUGAGAGUCUUGCUGCCCAACUGUGGCUACUUUGGGCUGGCUAACUGUGACUGCUUUUGAAUUAAAACCACUUGUAUUAUUUAUGUCAUUGUCUUUUCUUCUUGGGGCUAAUCUUUUGACUACUUCCCCCUCGAUUCUUCCUCCUCUUAUGGCAUUCUCUAUCAUUUCUCCUGCCAUAACUAUGUCCGCAAAACUUUUAGUAGUGCUUCCAAUUAUAUGAGUAAUACAUGGGGCUUUCAGAGUAUUAAUAAAUAACAUAGUGGUCUCUUUCUCCAACAGUGGUGGUUGAACCUACAUCGCUACCUCUCUCCACCUCUGUGCAUAUUGCCUAAAUUUCUCAUUAAGUUUCUUAUCCAUGUUUUGCAGGGUAAUCCUGUCAGGGGUCAUGUCUGUUACAUGAUUGUACUAUUGCAUAAAGGCUUGUGCAAGAUCCUUUCAUGAACUUAUUCUAGCCCGGCUCAACUGAUUGUACCAUCUGGCUGCCGCCCCUAUCAAACUAUCUUGAAAACAAUGGAUCAACAGCUGAUCAUUACUUACAUACCCCGUCAUCCUUCUGCAAAACAUUGUGAUGUGAGCCUCUGGACAAGUAGUGCCAUUGUACUUUUCAAAUUCUGGCAUUUUGAAUUUGUGAGGUAACACUAGGUUUGGGACCAGACUUAAGUCCUUGGCAUCAAUCCCAUGAUUAUUGCCAGUGCCUUCUAAAGCCUUGAACUUUUCUUCUAACCAUCUGCAGCGUUUAUCCAAUUGUCUUGCAGCUUGGGCUUUCAAAUCCUCCUUUUCCACCAUAUCUAAAUCGGGAACAAGAGGAUUAGUAAGAUUGUCACCCAUAUUAAGCCCUGAACCAAUUGGAAAAUUCACAUGGACACCAGCAUCAAUUGGCCCAUGCUGAGGCCUCACAGUAGUAGAUGGCCUUCUAGGAGGUGCCUCAGUUGGCAAUAAUACAUGCGGCGGUGUAAAACCUGGAGGAGGACCUUCAUUUUCCUCUUCAGUGAUGGCCAUAGGAGCCUUUCCUUUAUCAGUAGCCCUCAGUAACUGAGCCAUUUCGGCCAUUAUAUUCCUCUGAGCUUCCAUCAUUUGUUCCCUCAUCUCAUUCUGCAUUUUAGCCAACUGCUCUUGCAACUGGUCUUGCAUAUCCUUUUGCAACUGCUCAAACCUUUGAUCCAUGUUCUUAGUUUUAGUGCGAGUGCCGUAAGGAUGUGUAAUUUCCAGUUUUUCUUUUCUACCUUUAUAAAGAAACUUUAACUAAUUAGGGUCUUUCUAUAACCUUGAAUGCAUAUGAUAUGAUGUAAUGCAAAUGUAUGAAUGCAACAAAGGCAUCAAUCUCGAUUCAAUCUCAUUUAGAAAACUUUAUUUAGAAAAAGAAUAUCUUUACAUAUAAAUGGAUUACAAGUACGCUUUCGCCCUAAUGCCCAAAGUUUUAACUCUAUCUAAUAAAAGGGCUAACUUUCUUCCUAUCUCUGACGACGACCCACACAUCAUACUCAAUACAUCGGCUCGUACAGCCGAGUCUUGCACAUAUUCAGCAACCUCUCGAAUCUGAGCUAUGGCUUCUUCCAUGACAUGAUCCCUUUCUCUAAUCUGCCCUCUAGACUGAUAAAGUUCUCCCUUUAGAUAAUCUCCUUGCGUCUCGAGUUGCUCGAUCUGAAGUUUACCUUCCUGCAAUGCUGCUUCCAAAUUUUCAACUUUACUCUUUAGCUCUUUUAACUCGACCGUAGAAUCAUGGUUGUGAUGCCAAUGAAGGGAUAUUCCAAGCUCAGUUACUUUAGACUUCAACCCUUUAUUCUCUUCUUCUAAUGCCAAAUUCCACGAUUGCAUCUCCUGAAACUUCUUCUCCCAGUACUUAGCUCUAGCCUUUCCUUCUUGGACCUCUUUCUGUAACUGAUCUGAAGACCCUCCUAUUUUCGCUCUUCUUAAGGAUACCUGUGCCUUUUUGUAGUGUUCCUUCAAGUCAUCUCUAUCCUCUUCAAUCUUUCUCUUUUCCUUUCUUUCUUUUUCGACCUCCAUCUUCUGGACAUCAAUAUCUAAACUCAAAUACAUCUUUUCUUCUUCAAGCUUUGCUAUUCUUUUCUCGAGCUCCAGAUUUUUCCUCUCAAAUUUUUGCUUCAUAAUUUCUAACUCCGAGGGCAUCACUUGUAGAUAUUCCUCCAUCAGUCGAGCUCCUUCCAUAUUUGGCUCAAGAAUAUUAUCAUUAAUCCUUCUACCUCUCCAUUCAACAUAUUCUAGAGUCGUAGCAGGGCCAAUAGCUACUCCUUUCAACCGGCACGUCUUAUUCUAAGCACUAGAGAUCUCACCGACCCUUUUCUUGUAAUCGGCUCCUCUAUAUGCAAACUUACUUUGAGUUAGCCCAUGAGUUGCUGGCAUGAACUACCUCAAACCGAAUUGCCUUAACACGAGCAAGGGGGCAAACCAAUGGCACCUCAAAUUCCCAAUAAAGGGACCCAAUCGAAACUGCCACAACGGUAAAGAAUCUCACCAGGAAUCAUCCACGGAGCUCUCCACUCAACAUCUUUCGACUGAAGAUUUUGAAGUAGUGCCAUCCAAUUCUCCUCUGGAACAUCAACUCUCCUAGUUGAAGCGACUAUGUCCUUUAGCGGUGAGUAAUCCUCAAAGAAAACCCGACAAACGACCUUAUCUAUCAACCGAAAAUGACUAUAGAACCAAGCUAGAAGCAAUUGUGCACAACCAACAAACCUGCCUGCACCAGCUUUUCUACAUGUACCUAAGGACAUGAAUGUCUCUGCCAAAAUUGCAGGGACAGAAGUGACCCUCUUAUUGAGUCUAUGGAAAAGAUCCGUGGUUGCCUCAUCCACAUAUCCCAAAGCCCUAGGGAACACCAUCAAUCCGUACAAACUUAAGGCAAAAACAUCUACCCUCUUUGUUUCAUCGGGAUGUGUCAAAAUCAGACCUUUCAAAGCAUCCCAUGAAAUGCACUUGCACUCACCAUUCUCUUUAAUUCUGGCCGUAAUCCACUGCUUACUCAUCCCUGUAAUAGUCAUCAAUUUCUUCCAAAAGGUAGGGACAUUAGCAGCUCGAGAAUAGAUUCUAUCAACCUGGAACCUGGGACAACGUAACAAGGCAGUGUACUCCUCUACGGUAGGCACCAAGUCUACCUCCCCAAAAGUAAAGCAACUAUAUGCUGGAUUUCCCAAACUGAGUGAGGGCUAGGAACAAGUGCUCAUCUAUUUGAACAUCGAGCAAGUAAGGUAAAUCUCCAUAAUUACCGUAGAAUUACUGUUUAGUCUCGUUGCCCCAUUGAUCCAAAAUCUCCUUAAGUUCUUGGAGAUUAUUCUGCGUGACACUGAUGCAGGUAUAUCCUGACAGCUCCGACAUAUAUCCCGCAGCUAUACUAUCUCCCUUUUCUAACUGAGUUUGCUCAGACCAUCUAUGGACAUUGGCAUUGCUCUCCACUCUAUCAAGAAGUCCGUUCUCUAUAAUAAAACUCCCUAACUUAGAAACUGACCGUGAAUCGAUACCUUUGUGAAUGUAAAAUGUCAUGCAAACAAAAGAAAAGAAAUAGUCAGUAUCAUAUGAUAUCAAUAAAUCUCAACAAUAAUUUAUAAGGAUAAUAUCUAAAGUUUAACUCUAACUAAGUUGGGCUCUUACGGUUUUUUUCUAUAUGAGGUUGGUUCUAAAGUUUGAGGUACCUGAACCAGCAGAUUCCUCAAUCCUCACCCAUAAUAGGCUCAUUUGAAUCGAGUUCAGUUCAGGGGAAUACAUUUCCCUAUGGCUACAAGGAAAUGAAAAUCUCACGAAACCAUAGGUACGGACGUAUCCCGAAAGUGAUCCACUAUCCUGCACGGAGGCGAAAACCUCACGAAAGCGUAGCUUCUCACUCCCACUUAAGGGUGUGACCACAACGGUCAUGUAAAUGCAAUGCGUAUUAGAAUAUAGCAACACAUACAAUAAUUCAAACACAUGUAAUGCAAAGAGGAUUAAAUCUUAAAAUUUUUUAUAUUUCUGACAUUAAGAUAAGAGGUAAUCUUGACUCUCUUAAAACGUCCCCAGUGGAGUUGCCAAGCUGUCGAAACCAUUUUUUAAAUCGAGUUUUGGAAAAUGGGAAUCGAUUUUUAAAAAAAGGAAAACGGGAGUCGCCACCAAUCUUUUUAGGUGUGAUUGGAUCACCUUUAAAACAUUUGUUUUAAAAUCGUUGGUUUUGGUCUACGAAAUCAAAAAAAUGGGUUCGAGAGUCGGUUACGUACGAGGAAAGGUUAGCACCCUCGUAACGCCCAAAAAAUGGUACCUAAUUGAUUAUCAAAAUGUCUCUAAUGUCGGAAAUUAAAAAAUUUAAGAUGUAAUCUUCUUUAAAGUAUUUGAAAAUUUGGGUUUACUUGUAUCAAAGUAUCGACUAUAGGUUAGCCUUUAGAAAUCUCUAUCUCAAAACAGCAAAAUGCUACAUCCAGUAAGUUAGGACAUACCACUUUGCAAUUCCAAGACAGUCACUCAUAUUUUGAAAUCCUUUAAAAACUUUAGAAGGGUACUUGACUAUUCAAACUUAACGAGAAAAGUUACAACCCAAUAAGUUAGGGCACUACUUUUUCGAAAUUUCCAAACACCAAGUAUUGCCUUUAUAUUUUUUGAAAAUUUUGGAGACUUGUCUUUUUAAAGAUGAUGCAUGGAGAAUUGUAUUGCAUUAUAAAUCAUAAUAAUAUAUUAUUGUACUAGGUAAAUAAAAAAUGAAUACUACGAUAUAAAGAAUAAUACAUAUAAAGCAAAAAAAUGCAAACAAAGAUAUGUAGCAUGAAUAAACAAGAUAUAUAAACAUAUGAGAUAAUGUUUAAAUGAUGCAUGAUAUAAAAACAAACAUAAUCAAAUAAUGAAUGAUAUACAAAUAGAAUAAAUGUAAUGUCAAUAUGCAUAUAAUUAUAAAAAUUUAACACAUACAUGAUACAUACAAUACAAAACAUAUAAAAGAACUAAUAAAAAAUGAUUGAUUGCUAACAAAAUAUACAUACAAUUAAAAACGAGAUAUUUCAUUUCCAUUUUAAAAUAGUAUCUAAUAUAUAAUAUAAUAACAUAAUAAAAAGAAUAAUAAUUAUAUAAUAAUAUAUUGGUUUGAAAGUAUGUAAGAAAUUUCAUAAUAUAACAAUAUUAGUUUAAAAUGAAAUAAUAUAUAUAGUAAAUAAAUAAAAAAUGAAAUGUGUAUAUAAUGUGAGUUAAAAAAUAUGAUUUAAUAAUAAUAAUUUACAUUUUUAAAAUAAUAUAAUUUGCGAUACAUGAUAUACAUAACAUAUAUAUAUAUAAAAAACAAUAAAUAAUAUAAAAAUAAAACAUAAUAAAGAUUGCAUAAUAAAAUGUAAUAUAAACCUAUAAGAAAAGUAAUAGAUAUAAUAUAAAGUAACGUAUAAAACAAUAUAUAUAUAUAAGUAAUUAAUAAAUAUAAUAUAUGUGAAAAUAUAAUAAUAUAUGAAAGAGAUGUAAAAUAAUAAUUUAAGGAAAAUAAUAUAUAUAAUAAGUAAUAAUAAUAUAUAAUUAAAAAAGAAUACUUAUAAUAGAAUAAUUUUAUAAUAUAUAAUAUAAAAGUAAAAUUAAAAUAAACAAAUAAUAUAUAUAUAUAGAAUAAUAUAAUAAAUAUAGGACUAAAUUUAAAGUUUAACAAAAUUGUGGGGCAAAUUUUGAAAGGAAUAAAACUGAAUUAAGGAUUAAAAUAAUAAAUAAUAAGUAAGGAUUAAAAUUAAAACUAGAUAGAAUAUUAGGGCUAAUUUAAAAAAAAUAAAAAAAAAUUUGGAUUAAUUCGGAAUGCACGCUAAAAGCUCAGGGACUCAUUGAGUAAAUAACCCUAGUCCCUGAAACGGUGUCGCUCUCAGGGUUAGCUUUUUAAAGAACAGAGGACUAAAUUAUAAUGAAAACAGAAGAUUUGGGCCAAUUUUAAAUAAAACGAGAUUUAAAUCAGAUGAAAUUAAAUAAUCUAAAAAUGCGAAAGGAUCGAGGGAAUAAAUGUCCCACUAUAGCGGUAAAACACGUGGACCUUCGGAUCAGAUCGAGUCGGAUUUUGGACCCUAUAUAAAUCCCAUUUUGCCCAAAAAAAAUCAUUUUGUAACUCCUUUUAAAAAAAAUACUAAAAAACCUCUAAAAAAGGGCUCCGACCCUCGGAGCUCCGGCCUCGUGGCCGUCCUGGCUCGUCCCAGAGUCGGGCAUGCAUGGUCUCCACGCGCUUAACGAGCCGCCACCAGAGCCACCGUAUACGGUGGUUAGGGUUUCAAAAACCCUCUAUUUUCUUUUCUGAUUCUCAGGUAUCAACCUUCUCCAUCUGUUUUUAGUUUCUAUUUUUUAGAUCUGCGUGUGUGCAUGUUAGUAAAUGACCAGAUUAGAUUAAAAAAGAAAAAAAACGAUUCGAUUACCUUUGAAAAACGAGAUUCGCUUUUUAUUUCUCUGUUUCAAAAGGAUUACAAUGGUUCGUGUUAUUCUAUUAGGUAAAUCCCUAUACCUUUUUUUUUGUUUCUCUUUGCUUCUAAAAACUCUGUUUUUUGAUUCCCUGCUAUUCUUCUCUCUGCUUUUGUGUGGGUGUAUUUCUGCUAUCAGGUCUUUCUCCCUACCUGUCUUUUUACAGAUUAAAAAGAAGGCUUUAUAGCCUCGACUACUAUAAGUUUUGGAAAGAAAUCUCCGAUUUCUUUCCGUAUUUGCUUCGCAUGUCUGCUGUGAUUUUCUUUCCUUUUCUUGCAGGUACUUGCGAAAAAUCCGGCAAUGGCAAAGACUUGACGGUGGUCCACUGGUAGUGUUGAUCUCGGCGUGACUUGGGGCCUGGAAUCAUGGCCUUGACGGGGUAGUAGGAGCUGAAGAGUCAUGAGGCUUGGCUUCUGGAACCUUCUGUUUGCGGCGCGAUGAGAAAGAGGGCAGAAACCCUAGGGUUUCCUACUUGGGUCUGCAGAUGUUUGGGCCAAUUGGGCCUCUGGAAAUUUUGGGUGUUUUGGGCUACCAGUCUGUAAUGGGUCCAUUGCAACUGUUUGGGACUUAGUUUAGGCUGGGCUAGUCUAGUAAAAUUUGGCUGUUGGGUCUGUGUAUUUAGGCUUUGUAAAAAAAACUUUUAUGAACUGUUUAAAUUAAAUAAAUAAAUAUUUAUUAAUUUUUCAGUUUUAAUAAUCCGGGCAAAUUUUGGUGAUUACAACUAUGAUAUGAUUUCUAUUACUUUGAUUAUUAAUGUAACCCUAAUUACUUAUACAUUAAUGAUUAAUUUGGUUGAUUAUGUUACUAGAAAUUUGUCAAAAGGGGAGAUUAUUGAGGUAGUUUUUGAGUAAUGCCUAAAUCAAUACCAAAGGGCAGUAGCAUUUUCUGGUGUUUGUGAAGGCCGUAUGCUUGGCAAACAACACUUUCAACCAUUUUCAAAUGAAGGAGCAUAAGGAGCUAAAGAAGUGUUAGAGUUGGUUCAAACUAAUGUGUGUAGUCCUUUGAAAAUCCCAUCUCAUACUCAAAAUAGGUACUUUAUUUUAUUCAUUGAUGAUUUAACCCAUAUGACAUGGGUAUAUUUUAUGAGACAAAAGUCUGAAGUAUUUUCAAUAUUUAAAAAUUUUAAAGUUCUUGUUGAGAAACAAUUUGGUAUGUCCAUAAACGUUUUGAGAAAUGAUAGGGAAAAUGAGUACACCUUUAAUGAGUUUUGUGAAGAUUAAGGCAUGGAGUAUCGAUUGACUAUUGGUAUCCACCAUAAUCAAAUGGCAUGUUUGAAAGGAAGAAUCAAAUGGUGAUGGAGACGGUUUAAUCCAUUUUGCUUGAAAAAAGGAAGCAUAAUGAAUUUUGGCCUGAAGCUACUACUAUAGUUGUGUAUUUGUUGUCCAACUAAAGUCGUACAUAAUAUGACUCCAUUUGAUGCAUGUAGCAGAAGAAAGCCAUUUACGAACCAUCUUAAAGUUUUUAGGUGUAUUUGCUAUGCAUAAAUCCCUAAAGAACAGGGAAUAAACCUCAAAGAAACAAAUGAGAAGAGUAUUUUUAUUGGCUAUAUGUAACACCCUUUAUCCGACUUGAAGCACCAGAUCCAUAUAUUGGAUGUUACCACACAUAACACUUAACAGAAUUUUUACAAUUGAUGUACAAGUAUUAUAAAACAAUUAUUUACUAUUUCUUUCCGUAUUGUUCUUGAAAUUAAGGUGUUUAUUUUAUAGUUACAUCAAGGUUUAAGAACAAUAUACGACUUAACAUCUUAAUUCUCAACACAGAUAGACUCUACAUGACGUACUAGACUAAACACCAUACUCUUCUGAUCUCCAUUGUAUGCAUAAUAUCCCAACUUAUUGCUACUCAGACGUACUCCUAGCGUACCCACUCUUAUAGCAGAACUUGAAACAUAAACAAACAUCUGUAAGUUCAUACAAACUUAGUGAGUUUUAACCCAAAUUACCUAUAGACCUUUCUAGUUGAACUUCUCAUUUUUAAUAUUUUGGAUUUCAUCUUUGUCUUUGACAGAUACUUUACUAUAUCAGCGUAUACAUAUUCAUCAACUUCCACACUUGACUAAUCUAUUCACCCUUUGGACUGAUUCCAGAUUUCAUCAAUCAAUACAGAUCUCAUCUCCUUCUCAGCAAAUGCACUUAUGAAAAGAAUUAUCCAUACAAAACCUACCAUUUUCGGAUUCUUCUUCAAACAGAAAUUGAAUACUUUUCCCUUAGGAUGGUUACUCACAAAAACUAUUCUUAGCGGAUAAUUAAAUUGACUGAUCUUUUAAGAAGAACUUCAUACUGAUCCUACCUUUGGUGAAUUCUCAUAUUGGUUCUGGUAACAAUCAGAAUACCAAUCAGAUUGUAUCUCAAAUCAACCCAAAAAUCAUAAUUUAUACUGAUAAUGAAAUGUUUUAAAUCAUUUUAAAGAAUUCGAGACAAAUAUGUUACAAAUCACGAGAGCGCCCAACUUGAUAAAACAACUUAGAUUCCAGAUGGCCUCUAUACAUGACAUGUAAAUCAUUCAGAUUUGGCGGAUAAAUCAGAUUACUUCCUUGAAUAGAGUAGACAAAUUCAGGCCCAGUAAACAUUUAAACCUUUCAUAAUUACGAAUACGCCAAUUUCCUGUAUUGAGAGGCUAAUAUGGAAGAUUCACCCUUCCAGUAACAUUGUUAGAGACUCUUUCAGAAGUUUUACUUAGAUCAUAUUCAAAUUCUUCUAUAAGACUAACCAAUCAGAUAUAUCAAUAAAAUUACCAAUUCUCUAUCAUCACAUUAGUUAGUAGAUACAUCUCGAAGUUUACCUAGAUCAUGACAUCGAAGAGUUCGACCAAAUUUCGCCUCAAGGGCGUUACAAAAUACAUAACACAAAUAUCAUAAAAUAAGCAACACAUACUUUAUCAAAUACGCCAUAAAGGCCUUAUAGAACACGCCACGAAGGCAACACAGAAAAUUACAUGUUUAUUGUCCUGUCAAACUAUCUUAGAGGUUUCCAUGAGGUUUCUCCCACAUGGUCUUAUUCAUAACUACAUGUCAUGAUCUACCAGUCCAGUCCAUAUCUCAAUGGAGGCAUCACCAUGAGUGUUUUCAUUAACAUACAAUGCCAUGGGUCUCAACCAAAUGGACUCACACAUCCUCAUGUCAUGUUCUGGCAGUCUGAUUUACAUUUCACUGAAGGCUACACCAUGAGUAUACUUGUUGUCAACGUGAUCUGCCUGUCUGGUUAGUAAUAUACCUACCCUAAUGAAGGCAUCACAAAUGGAGGCUUGCUAAUCCCACACAAAAUACACUUACCUAGAUUCGUUCACAUACCUGAAUAGUUCAUAUUCUCUUAACAAAAUUUACCUUUCCAUACCUGAUUCUACAUGAAUUUACAUCACAUAUCAUGUUAUUCAUAUAGUAACUCAUUUACCUCAAUUUUGAACAUGCAACAACACUAUGAUGCUUUACUCUCUUACCAUAUAUCCAUGAUGAUAUCAACAUGCGUCUUUACAAUUAAAAAUUAACUUGCAUGAGUCAGGGUAGAGACUUACCUGAUGCUCACCUAUAUUGUAGCUUAGAGUUCCAAACUCGAAUGUUCAUCUCAACCCAACAGCAGCAGCUACUUAAAGAACAUGGAACCGCCAUUAAAAACCUAUUUAUAGAUAAUUUUCCAUUAUCUCAACUACAUACGCCCCCAUACAAGGUCUCUUAUUCAUAACUUACUGUUUAAGUGCUUCUUAACAUCUUUAUUCUUUCAAAAACUUAACAUGCAGAGCUAUCAGGCUUACUAGGAGGUGGAAUCUGUAACACCCCUAGCUCACAUCCGUCGCCGAAAUAGGGUUUUAGAGCAUUACCGAUCAAACAGACAUAAUUUCAAUGCAUUUCAUAUCAUAUAAUAUUCAAGUCAAAACCAAUCGAACUCAUACAUAUUGUCCCUUAUUUGAACCCUCGAGGCCCAAAUUACAUGUUAGAAACAAGUCGGGACUAAUUUAGAAAUCAGAGAAAAUUUUCAAAGCUGCAGGGUUCAAACGCCCGUGUGGUCAGGUAGUGUGUCUCACACAGUCCAAUCACACGCCCGUGUGGACUUAAAAUGUACCUUUAACAAUAAGUUUACCAUUCCCUGCAAGCUUAGACAAUAAGCAACUCAAAAUCAUUCGUUUAACCAAUUCAAAACACAAUCAAACUCAUCCAAAUCAUAUCAAACAAACAUCCUAGGUGCCUAACCAAUGUACCCUCAUAGGUAUCACAAUUAUAUCAUCAUUUUAUACCAUUUAAACAUCAUUCAAAUCCAAUUUAUAACCAUGCCAAAUUCAAUUUACUUUGCCUAAUUCAUGUUCAUUUAAACAUUAACUUAAACAUGUCAGAACAUGACUUCAAACAUAAACGCAUAUUAUAUGUAUAUAACCAACCAAUAUUAAACUUAUAAUCUCAUUUACUUUACAAUCAAUCCACAAAAUAAUUAUUAUUUAGACACCCUAGGUCAUGCCGACACAAAAGGAUAAACAUCAUCACGUUUGAGAUUGGGAUCAUUGAUGGAUGCUGAAUCGACGAUCAACUCUUAAGUACCUAACCUGUGUACAGAAAACAAACUGAACGCUGAGUAUAUACUUAGUGGUAUUUCUAUAAUCCAAAUAUUUUAAAACAAAAUUUAAUAUAACAUAUGCAUUUAAUCGUACAACAACAAUAGCUAUUCAAUUAAGCAAUUAAUAAACAAAUUAUUUAUACCAUAUUCAAUUCUCAUCAUUUGCUAUCUAAAAUAGCUUUUCGCAAUACGAUACAGAAAUCCAUAUAUCUCACUUGCAUUUCACAUUCAAUGCUUUUCGGUUCCAAUCAUAUUAUCAUUUCAUUUAAUUACCCUUAUUAACAAUACUCAGACUUAGACGGAUAACAAAUCCAACAAAAACACACCAAUUUGGUACCCACUACCUCAUCGGAUAAUUUGAAGUAAUAAGUUGACACCCAGUGUCUCAUCGGUUAAACCGAAGUAAGUUGGCACUCAGUGCCUCAUCAAAUUAAUCCAAAGUAGAUAAUUGACACUCAUUGUCUCAUGAACUCGAGGUUGAAGAAUCCCUGAACUCUUCCAAUCUUAUGGCAUGCCAUCUAUAUCCGACUUAGUCUGAUAUAGUUAAUAGGGUUUAAUUCCACAAUUCAAAAACAAUCAAUAUCCACAUUUCACAUUUCACAUUAAUUACGAAUUCAUAUAAAUUCAAUUCAAUAUCAAAAUGCUAGUUACUCACCUCAAUCACUUACCAUAAUUAUUAAAUCAAAAUACAACAAUUAAUUAUUAGAUUCGGAUUAUAGAAAUACAAACCAGAAUUUUCGAGCUACUCUUCGUUAACUUUAUCUUUUCCCUUCUUAGUGGAAGUUUCCGACACAACGUUAGCUACGGAAAUUAAGAACAAUUUAAAAUUCAUCAAUACAACACAAUUUAAUUUCACAUUAAAUAUUUUAUUUUUUAUUCAACAUUUGCCUAAAUUCCAAUUUAGUCCCUAAACCGAGACUAACUUUAUUUCUUCACAAUUAAUUCUAUAUUUUCAUUCAAUUCCCACUUUAAACUAGAUUCAACUCUCUAAUUUCACUUAAAUCCCUAAAUUUUAAAAUUUUGUAAUUUAGUCCCUAAUACUCAAAAUUUAUAAUUUUUUUCUAAAAUUCAAUCAUUUUCCAUUUCCAACUUAAAAAUCUAUCAAUUUAGUCUCUGAUACUGAAAUUAUUCAACAUAAACAAUAUUUAAAAAACUCAAUAAUUUCUAAAAUUUCGACAUAGGUCGGGUAGUAUUUAAUACCAAGAUUCUAAAAACAUAAAAAUUACAAGAAAAUGGACUAAAUUAACUUACCAAUUGAGCUUUGAACCUUAAAACCCUAAUUUUUCAUUCUUUUUCUUUCUCUCUUUUUCUUCUUUGUUUCGUUUCAACUCUUUUGUUUCUUUUAGUUAUUUUUCUUUCUUUUAUUUUGUUUUAGUUAUUCUUUAAUUAUUAUUAUUAUAAUAUUUAUAUAUGCUUAAGUAUUAAGUAAGUAUAUAAUAUAUAUAAAUAUAUGUAUAUAAAUUUUACACAUGUCCUUACCAACACCAAACAUUUGUUAAUUUAUGGCUUAAUUACUUAUUUAUUCCCUUCUCCUUUCUCUAAUCUAUAAUUCAACUUUUUCCCUUUAUGCAAUUUAGUCCUUAUACCUAAUUACUCUUAAUUCAAGCUAAUUCACUUAACCAGGUCCAUUUUAAGAAAAUGAAGACUCAAAAAUACACUUUCCAAUACCCGUGACUAUCGGGUCGUUACAGAACCUCUACUAAUUAACACAAAACUUUAGCUUCCAACUUAAUAAAGAAGAAGAGAACAUUUAAGUUUAAGAAGAAAAACUAGAGGUUAAUAUUGAAGGAAGAAAAACCAUUCAAACGUUCCCUUCUCAACAUAUAUGUAUCCUCCAAUACCUCUUAAUGGAUCUUGACAUGAGUCAAAUGCAUACAGAAGUUGUCCUUUUUAUGUCCUACAAAAAUCAUAGAAAAUAUAAAAGAAAAUAUGAUGUCGAUGUUAUUUGACUGGUCAAACCAUUCAAUUGACUUUUAACCAAUCAUUUUAAAGCACUCAUAUUACACAUCUUUCAAGCGCACUUAGCGUACCAUACCUAUGGUGAUAACUCCUAUAUGUCAUGGCAUCAAAAACACUUUAUCCAUUUACAACAAUAAUUGUAACCCUCUAGACCCGGCCUAGACGUUAUGGCCGAAUCUUGAAGAUCACGUUGGCUAUGAAAAUGGCGCAGUAAAUCGUUUAGAAGAUUUCUCUUUAAAAUUUCCGUUUAAAAUCAUUUCUUUAUACUUGUUUUAAGUAAAACCAAAUUUAGUUAAUAUUUAUCUUUGGACAAACUUAAGUAUUGUAAUUGUCUUUUGAAAACGUUGUAAUUUAUCUGAGACAUCGCAACAGACAAAUUUCUAAAUAAAAAAAUUAUUAUUUAUUUUGAAAUCGUAAAUUAAUCAUACAACUCGUAAAAAUAGUAGUCUCGUAAAUAGUUGUGUUAAAUUUUGAAAACAUAAUAUUGUGUAUUGAAAAUCAUCCUUAUUAAGCUUAAGUUUCAUCAUAAUUAUGAAAAUCCAUCGUAAUUUAUUAUAUUCUCAAAUAAUUUAAAUGAUAGUUUUUAAAUCCAAAUCAUGUAGAAAAUUUCCCAAAUCAAAUAUGAGUCUCAAAACGAAAAACCAAACCAAAGUCCCAAAAUUAAAGUCCAUAGUAAGUAAAUACACCCCAAAAUAUCAAAUAUCAAUAACAAUAGAGUUAACUGAAAAAUAACCGAGAGCGCCUUCGUAGCCGAGCCCAUCCUAUCUUUGAUUAUCUAAUAUAUCAAAAUUUAAAAGGGUGAGCUUAAAAAGCCUAGUGUGUGUCUCCAAUAAUAAUCAUAGAAUAAACUCAUAUCAACAUUAAUUUAAACAUAUCAUAGCAUAUAAAUUAUUCAAUCACAAAAUCAGAUAUGGUAGAAUGCGUAAUGACUAUGUCAAUGCAAUACUUUUCAAAAAAUAGUGCAGAUUUUUGAAAGACAAAUCCUACCCAAUUCCGCUACACACCAAUAAGAGUUCCCCAGAACUCGUUCAUCCAAUAUCACACCAAUAAGUGUGGACUAACCACCAGACAGUGCAGUCGUGCUGCCAGAAUCAAAAUAGUGUGGUUGAACCACUAGAUAUUGCAGGUUUACUUCCAGAUACAGGAUAAUGUGGACAUGCCACCAGAAAAUGUAGAUUUACUGCCAGAUACUUCCUCCAUACUUUUUUCUCACCCCAUGCAUGUGAUAUGGCAUAUAGAUCAGAUUUUUCAUGUAACGCCCUGACUUAUUUAUUUCUGUUUCUGUAAAUAUUUGACAUAAAUGUGUAUUUGCUUUAGUGGUUAAGUAUUUUGGGUGUGUGUGUGAGGUCUUGGGUUCAUGUCCCACUUCUGUCAAUUUUGUUAUUUUUGGAUCCAAGCCUUAUCUUUAUUCAGUAGGCUUAUAUUAAAUUUCCUGUAAAUUUAUAUUAGAAUGAGCCUGUUGGUUCAAGUGGUAAGAGAGUUAAAGUGUUAGAAGUCUUGUGUUUGAAUCCCUGCGUGAGCGUGAGUAUUAUUUUUGCUCGAUUAUGUGAUAGAGUUUGGGUGGAGUUGGGAUUCUGAAGUGGUUGUGAUUUAGUGGGAUAACGAGGGUUAUAAUUUAGUGGAUAUUGUCAAAAUAUUAAGAUUUAAUUUUUUAUUUUGUUUAUUUUUCUCUCUCCUACCGAAAUUCUGCUCACAUUUGACGUUUCUUCUCUAAAUUUUCUCACUUCUAAGUUUUUCUUUUUGAUUUCGACCUUCUUUGAUUUCUGUUCGCUUUUCUGUUUUUCAAAUCCCCACGGUUAAGUGCUAUAGAGUCUAGUCUGUCUGUAGUAGGUAAGUUUUCUUGAAGUUUUGGGCUAAUGAGAACCGAUUUCGGGUUUGGUAACAUGGUGAUUUCUUGUUUAGGUGUUGCCCAAGGGGUUUAAAACGUGUCUUCCAGCGUGUAACGUAUUCAAGCUAUCAUUUCUAUUUUGGUAAGUGAUUAAACCUUCAUUUGAAGUUGUUUUCCGAGUGUGUCGUUUGGGUUUUUUGGUUAGAUUGGCUGCGAUAAUCGAAAUUGAACGUGUUUCUGGUGUUGUUCUUAGGUUCAGGAGUCUAGGGAUUACUUUGCUGCGAAAAAUAAACAAGCUGUGUUCCCAAAAUACAAAAAUCUAAGUUUUGGCGAAAGCCGAAAAUGGCCACUAUCGAUACCACACGGGGCGUGUGAGAGGCCGUGUGCGAGACAUGGUCGUGUGGUGGACAAAGGCAUGGUCGUGUAUAUGACACGACCGUGUGAUGGCCAAAGUGUGGCCAUGUGAGCCAUAUGGGCUUGGCCAAGUUGGGUGUGCGGGUUUCUGGGCCAGGUCUUAUAGGCCACACGGGAAGGCUAAUCUAGGCGUGUAGGCCACACAGGCAUGUGGACCCAUAUUUCUGAAAUUUCCCCUAGGGUCGCAUGGGUCAUUCCAAUCGACUAUGGGCCUACCGUAAAGUCGGUAAGGACUAACCAAACACUAAAACUAUAGAUCUGAUAGUCUGAUAUUCAGUUCUAUGUAUGAUAAUGCUAUACAUGUCUGAUUAUUUUGAUAUAUGUACAUAACCAUGUUGAGCAUGUCCAAUAUGUUAUUUUGUAUCUGUUUUUGUAUAUGAUUGUGGGGUAGGAUUUGUAUAUGAGAGGAAGUAUUUUAUAUGACGAUCUGCGCCUAUAUUCUGGCAGCUUGGCUGCACAUUAUCUGACAUGUAUCGUAUUGGCACGGUAUGGUGUGUAGGGAUGGGUGGGUGUUUUUAACCCCACAUGGUGUGAUGGGAUGGUCAGAGUUGGUGUGUAGAGGAAGGGGGUAAGAUUAUGUGUUUCUGAUCUAUAUAUCUGAUUCUGUGUAUUGUAUCUGAAAAGGCCAUGAGCCUGACUCUGUAUCUGUAUGUUUGCAUGCUUAUUUCUGUUGGGUUACACACUGAGUUUAUGGAAACUCACAUCCGUUUGCCUGUUCUGUUCAAGUAAUCCUCAGACUUAGGUAGAUUAGUACAGUGGAGACUCAACAGUGACCAUUCGACCAUAAUUAUUAAUUUAUGGUUUUAUUUACGAUUUUGGUUUUAUUCUGAGAGUUUGUAAUUUCUGGGAUUCUCUGGACUUUAUGGUUUUUAACUGUUGAUUUUUGGUUUGUUAAUAAUUUGCAUGCCUUGACAAAUUAUUUUAUAAAAUCAAUGAUUUUUAUGCAAAAGAGGUUAUUUCUAAAAAUACAAAUCUGGUUUAAAAAAUUUAUCACAUUUUUUAAACUUCUGUUGUAGUAAGUGUUUGGUAAACAAAUUAAUUAAAUAAACGUUUUCAGUAUAAUCAUGACGAACACGAGAUAUCAAAAUUGAAUGAUUUAUCAAGUCAACACUGUUUUCAAAAGCCAUUCCUUGUGACAUUAUCAGAUUCGACCAUAACGUCUAGGCCGGGUUUGGGGUGUUACAUUUCAGUAGCAUACUUUACAUGCGAAUUAAAUUAUCAGAAUAUGGCAUGUUUAAAAUGCGAAUCAAAUCUUAUAUAUUUUUAUAAUGGCAUGCUUAUCAUGCAAAUCAGAAUUUUAGAAUAGGGUAUGCUCAACAUGCGAAUCCAUAGAUCAAAAUGAUAACACAUAACAUUUUUCACUUAGAUCAGAAUAUUGAUAAUUAUUUUAUAUUAGCCAUAAACCACAUGACAUGAGAAAGAGAAAUAAUAUAUUAACACAUAUUACAGAAUCACUCAAUCAACAAAUCAACACCAUAGAUCUUAGAGUUUCGGGAUUAACUUACUUGGUAUCCUUGUUUAUCGGUUUUUACCUAUCUCUAUGAAUACUCUUGUAUUCACACAUACUUAUAAUUCAAGAAUCAUAUAACCAAAAAUAUUACAUUUAAAAUAUCACUGUUAUUUAUUAUUUAAUCAAUAUUAUUAAUUGCUAUCAAGAAUGAGUCCCCACAUCUUAGAUCCGAUUGAAAAUCUCGAUUCCACUUUGAAAGGGGAGUUCGAUUUCCUUGACUCACUACAGUAUCGAUCCAAUGCAUGAGUCAGUACAAAUUUAAUGAAUAAAUUACAACCAUUAAUAAAAGAAACAAUUGUGAUUUGGUAAUACUUACGCAAAGUGGUGAUCAAAUCGCACACUAUUAUGAAUAGAGGUGAUUUUGGGAUUUUUGUGUGAUACUUCACAGAAGCACAUAAAUGAGUCAUUAGAAUCCUGCUAAAUCGAAAAUAGUAUUGUAAAAAUAGAACGUGAAUAAUAAUCCUUCGUACCUACAAUAAAACAGAGGAAAGAAGCUCAACGAUAAAUUUUGAAAAGUCGGCUAAAGUUGAGGAUUUGACGCUAUAAACGCAAAAUAGAAAAGGUUAGAGAAAAUAAUAUGAAAAAUGAUCUUUUAAUAUUUAAAAACCAGAUUCAAGAGUUUAUGGAGAUGAUUUUUUGAAAGAGGAUGAGAAAAGAAGAAUAUGGUGAAAAUAGAUGGUAGCGAUGUGGCAGCGAUAUGGCGGUAGAGGUGAGGCGGUGGUGUAGUUGUUGUGUGGUGGUAGAGUGAAAGAGGGACGAAGAAAUAUGGUUUCAAAGGUGGUGAAAUAAAUAAUAAAAAUUCAAAAAACAGUUGGAUGAGGUUGGUGGAUGGCAAAGAGAGGAGAUGAGAGAAAAACUGAAAGAAUAAAAUGAAAAGUAGGGUUUUUGGGGUGCUAUGGCUGGCCAUGGGUAGUCAAAGGCGAAAAGAUGGUAUAUUUGGGGACAACGGGAGUAAAAAGUGGAUCAUGAAUAAAGAGGGGGCUUUGGAUGGUAAAAGAGUUGACUCAAAACAAAAGGAAAGGGAUCCCCCCAUUUUAUGGAAUGAGUUGGAUGACAAGGAGGGUUUGAACAUGAGACCUUUAGGAUUUAAUUAACACACUUAACCACUAGGGUACUAACUCCCUCGUGUCAUAAACUUGCGCAUAAUAAUAUAUAAAAUUUAGGGCGUGAUAAUAACAUAUAUUUUUAGGUGCAUCAUGCUCAACCAAAACUUUGAGUUGAACUCUUCGUUUGUCAUACACUUUCUUCAAUUGAAGAAUAUUACGAGAAUAAAUCCUUAUAUACUUCUAUGGGCAGAUACUCUAUACGCCAAACAUUAGUUCGCCAAAAGCCUAUAAAUUGGCGGACUAACUACCAUAGUGUGCCAAAACAGGUAACCUUCACAUCUAUAUGCCCUUCUUCUCGGAUCUGCCAAAUUUGGGCUGUGAUACUAUAGUUCAAUGUCAAAGGGUUAUAAACUUUACAAGUUGAAGAAAAAGAAGGUAAUCAUUAGUUAAUAUUUUGUGUUUGAUUAAAAGGUUGUAUGGUUAGCAAAAAGAAAAGGUUAAGAAGAUUUUUUUCUUGCUACAAUUAUACAUCUAGUACAUGUUGAUGAGCAAUUGACUCAUUCUAUACCAAAUUCUCCAUCCUUAUCAAGUUCUCCAAGUUUUAUCUCUUCACCUAGCUCAACUCUAAUAAAAAUAAGAAUUUUAAGUGAUGUUUAUGCUAGAUGCAAUUAUUAUGCAAUUGAAUUAGAAAGCUUUGAAGACGCAAUCAAAGAGGAUGCUUGAAAGAAAGCUAUGCAAGAAGAAAUUGAUUCAAUUAAAAAGAACAAUACAUGAGAUCUGGUUGAAAAGCCAAAUGGUAAAGAAGUUAAUGAUGCGAAAUGUGUGUAAAAAGUGAAGCACAAUCCAGAUGUUUCAGUCCAAAGAAAUAAAGCCAAAUUAGUGGUGAAAGGCUAUACAAAAUAGCUUGGUAUUGUCAAUCAUGAGACUCUUUUUUUCAAUUGCUCAUUUGGACACAAUUAAAGCAAUCAUUGCAUUGUAAACAUCAAAAGGUUGGAAUCUCUACCAGCUAAAUGUGAAAUCAACAUUUUUAAAUAGAGAAAUGAAAGAAGUGUACGUGCAACAACCUUAAAGCUUUGAGAUUAAAGGCCAAGAAGAUAAGGUGUACAAAUUGAAGAAAGCUCUGUAUGGGCUCAAGAAAAAUCCUAAAGCAUGGUACAGUGAGAUUGUCAACAAUUUCAUUUAGCAAGGAUUCCAUAGAAGAAAAAGUGAUCCUACUUUGCAUAUUAAGUAUCAAGUUACAGCCGAUAUACUUCUUGUUGCACUUUAUGUUGAUAAUUUGGUUUAUAUCAGUAACAAUGAAAGGAUGAUUGAAACUUUUAAAAUGGAGAUGAUGAAAAAAUAUGAAAUGCUUGAUCUUGGAUUAUUACAUCAUUUUCUUAGAUUUGAGAUUUAUCAAAUGAUUAUGGAGUUUUUAUUUGUAAUAUAUAUAUAUGUUGAAAAUGUUUUGAAGAAGUUUGGUAUGGUUCGUUGUAAAUGUGUUGAUACUCCUUUGGUGGUGAAUGAAAAAUUAAGAAAAGAAUAUGGUGGUGGAUGAUUGAUGCAAGCAUGUAUAGAAGCUUGAUUGGAAGUUUGAUUUAUUUGAUGGCUACGAGGACUAGUUUUCAUGUUUGCGACUAGUUUGCUUUUAAGAUUCUUAAAGUGAACCUAGCCACUUACAUCUUGAAGAAGCAAAAAAAGUGUUGAGAUAUGUCAUGGGCACCGUUAAGUAUAGGAUCAUGUUUGAAAAACAUUCAACAAUAAAUUAGAAGGUUAUUGCUAUAGUGAUUGGGUCGAAAGUGUUGAUGAUAUAAAGAACACUUCAGGUUAUGUAUGUGCUCUUGGAACUGAUAUGAUUUCUUGGUGUUAAAGGAAGUAAUAAAUAAUAGCUCAAUCAUCUAUAGGAGUAAAGUAUCUAGCAGCUGGAUCAGUAGCACAAAAGUAAUUUAGUUAAGAAGAAUUAUGGAAGACAUCAGAGAAAAGUAAAAAGAAGGUGUCCGGCUUCAUUGUGACAACAAAUUAGCCAUUAUUAUGUCAAAGAAUCUAGUUUGUCAUAGUUGAACCAGAUGCAUCAACAUCAAACAUCAUUUCAUACAAGAAGUAAUUCAAGUAGGAGAGAUCCAACUAAAAUUUUGUCCACCACAGGAGCAACUAGCAAACAUUUUCACCAAGGCACUUCCAAGGACAAGAUUCCGGCAACUCAAAAAAGCAUUGGGAGUCAAAGAACGUCAAAUUAGGGGGGAGUAUGUUGAGUAAUGUGAUAUAAUUAAACUUGUAUUUAGUCAAGGUGACUAAGAUGGACGAAUUUAGUGAAUCUAGUAGUCAUUUUAUUAACAUGCAUGUGUCAUGGGCCGCAGAUCAAAGGUUGUGACCAUUACGCAUAAAAUGUCUCAUAGAUUUUAACUUAUUAAAUGUGGCUCAUUUGAUUCACAUGAACUGACCCGAUUUGUGAAACCCAUUAAGAAACCAAUUACUUGAAGCUUUAAUGGCCCAGUGAAACACUCUAGUAAAACUAAAGUUAAGAGGGUAAUUAAUGUGAAUCCUAAGUGAUAAAAAUGUAUAGAUCUGUACCGUUGGUUUUGGGGAACUCAACUAUAAACAGAAGCCUUCCUAUAGAAAAUUUUUGCAAGAGUUUUCAUUUUCCAAGAGUAGGCUAACUAAGGCAAGAUUUGACCCAAGAAAUCGCCUAAGACCAUGCGGUUUGCCAGACUAAAGGUCUAAUCUCGUGACACAUGAUUGUACUCAUCUAAAAUGAAUGAAUGUAGUAGAUUAAGAAUCAAAUAAGAUGAAUGUAUAGAAAUUAAUAAUCACUUCCCACAACUAUACAAAGAGUUGUAAGUGAUGAAGCCAAUAGAAAGAGAUAGAGAUGUGAGUGAACCAAAAGUAAAAUUUUCAUUCCAUCUUAAGUGUCUCUCCACCAUCUCUAGAUUCUCUCCAACAAGUUGGAACAAAUGGUACAUUCUAUUCAAAGUUUGACUACACUAUCUGGCUCAUGCGUUGGCUUUGUUUUUUGUACAAGUGGAAGUAUUACAUUGAUGUUUACAAUUGUAAGAGAAUUGCUACCAAAAUACUGAUAAACAACCACUGCAAUGGAACUGGUCCACUCUCCAAAUUAGCAAAGCUUGAAUCAUGUGCUACUGAUUUUGUUGCUGGUGCAGGGGCAAUAUCUGCUUCUGGCAUGUCACAUACUCCGAAUGUCAUAUUUGCCUAUGCAAGACAUUUAAAUACCAUAGUAACCAAUUAGAGUCCUAACUUUUCCGGGUCUUUUAUCAACCAUUUCUUACAUAUUUACAAGGAAAUGGAGGAGAGAUAAUAGGUAGAAUUAAUGUUGCAUACCCUGCAAAUGACAAUGUUUUCGCAUCCACAAACUAGAUGACCAUUUGCCACGUCUAUAGCUUCUGGAGCACCUCCACCAUCACUCCUCUGAUAUGUUCAUGCAAGAAUUGAUUUCAAAUGCCCAACUCAGAACCAGUAGAAUUUUUAGGUUGUUCAUGCUUUUAAUAGUAGCAAUUGACAAUUGUGCAACAUUCAUACCUUAUAAAAAUCAACAGCAAUGAAGUUAGGCCAUCGGUUUCCGGCGGCUACAUGACAUGUAUUCAUCAUGCUAAUUAGUGGAGCUGAAUUGUGUCUGCAAGCUUGCGUUACAUCUGGUAUAUCAGGGAAGUAGUUGAUUAAGACGAGCGACCUUGAUGUUGCAUUCAUGGCAGGUGAUUCUGCUCGGUUUGGACAUGAACCAGCUAUCAUCCCACCAUUGCCAUCUGUUGUUCCCAAAAAUGCAUCAAUGUCACUUCUGCUUUGAAAUAAAUAUAAUUUUUCUGCUUUUUUUAAUGAACUGUUUAGAAGAUGAUGAUAACAGGACUCACAUUGGUUUUCUACCAUGUAUCUCCACUGAUAAGCUAUACCUUCAGAGGCCUCCUUAGCUGACUUUGAAGUGAAAACCACCAUACGCUGAUUCUUUUGUACCAUAUCAUCAACUGUUGGCCAACUUCCACCAUUUUUUGGCAUUCGAGAUACCGGAAACCAGAACUUCCUCAGGCCAGCAGCAUCAAAUACUUUGCUUAAGCCCCUUGGUGAGGUAACAUAGUCUUCAAUGAUAAUGGUAACAAUUUCUGAGGGGUUUGCUUCAAGAAAUGCUUGAAUCUCUUUCAAAAUAUUAAUUGCAGGUUGCUGCUUAAAAAAGAAUUACUCAUCAAUUAAGGCCAUCGUAAAGAAAUUAUUAUUCACAUUUUCUGAGACCCAGUCCAGAUAAAAUAUAUUCAUUAACUUUAUAUGUCCGCUCAAACUUACGAAGGCUGUAUUGUUAAAACAUUGUCCUCCAAAGGAGUGACACAACCAGAUGUCGUUCUGGAAAUCAUACAUGUCCAGCAUCAAACCCCUAACACCAUUCUGCAACACAGAAAACCACUUCUGAACUCGCUAAUUAUUGAAAAACAACUGCUAUUCCAGCAAAAUACAUUGCGAAAGAUAAAACAAUUCAAUAGGGAGAAACACUAGUAUAUAAUGUUCAGUUUAGAGGCAAUUUAACAAUCAAAUUGCAAAGUUUUCUAGUCAGUAGUAAGUAGCGAAAAUCUUGGGAGUUUUGGGCGGGGGGCACGUAAGAACUCACGUUAGCCUAUAAUGCAGGUUACCAAGAUGGAAUCCGACAGAACAUGUUUCUGAAGCAAAUGCAACAUGAUUUCAUAUGUCACCUGUGGUAUUGAUGGUAUGGAAAGCACAUAAAUAUUAUAUUCGCCACUAGGAUAUACCUUUUUUAAGAUCACCUCACCUAACUUACUUGACUAACAUGUGGGGUUGGGAGAAGAUAAAAGUAUACAUGUUCAUACCUUAAUACAAUGAUGCUUACCUUAUUAUUAAAAAAGAAAAAUAAUAUGCUGACGGUCGGACCUACUCCCCCAGUUGAGGUAAAACAAUGUAUAACUAACUCCCCUAAUUAGAUUAAGAAUCAUAUGUGAAGAAAAAACAUAGAUUUCAAACUUUCUAACUAAAGUAAUAAGACUCAGAGGAGGUGUCUGUCUCUGACCCUGGACAUGGUCUUGGGAAGCUUUCUUCAUUUCCCAUCAUAAACAUACCUCACACACUCCAUUUUCUCUUGAAACAUAAACAAUUGAUGAAAACUUUUUUAACGUUAGUUCAAAGUCUACCAUCAAAUUGAAGCAUUCAACAAAAGUUUAAACAGGUAUAAGAUGUCUGGUAAAGCGUGGUUUCUAUGUAAUUUCCCUUUAAGCUUUGGCUUUCUUCAAUUUUACUUGAUUAAAAAGGGUGCCAAUAUCCUUUCUAAAGGGUAAAUUAACGACAUCAUCUACCUACCGAAAGGGCUAAAAUGCUAAAUAAUCCUCUAAUUGUAAACUAAGUACAAACAAGAAAAAUCUAUAAUUUCUUAAUAAAGGUAUCAUUAAGGAUACGUGUAAUUAAGGUUCCAAGCCAAAAAGUAUUCUCACCGGAUUGGGUGUUAUUUUUUUAACUGGAUCCUUGUGUCGGCAGCAAACAACAAUAGUCAAACCUCAAUGUUAUAUUCUAGCUACCUCAUACUAAUGAUGCAACAAUAGCAAAUUUAAUUUAAAGCUAGUAGCUAAUCUCAUAUAAUAUAACUAAAUACCACUAUUACUUUAAUAAUAAUUAAAUCAAUUCCAAAUUGGUUACGGUCUUCUCGGAAACAGCAUCCUCAGAAAUCAAAGAGUACCCAACAAAUAUAUUCAAGCACAAACAAACAAAAAUCCCUUCCAGAAAGACUUUGCUUUAAAUUUAAAGAAAUCGAGUUUUACUUUCCAACCAGAAGAGCCGACAUUCCUUAAAAGCAAUCCAUCAAAAAAACACCGCCAAACAGCAAUACCCUGUUUAAUUCUCUUUUUUUUUUUAGUCAAUACUGUUUAAUUCAUUUAAAAGUGAAAAAAAUCUAAACCCAUAUGUAAACUAAAAAGAUCAACGGGGGAUUUAAAAACGAAGAAGAAGCUGAAACAAAAUGAGAACAUUGAGUAGAGAAUUAAAGCAUACAACAAUUAUAGUUAAUUAAACAUACAUUGAGUUGGUCAGUGAUGGAGUCCUGCUGGUUCGUAGGUUCUAGAAUCAAAGACCCAGUUGCGGACUUUUUUCCAAGCCUUGCAAACGAAUUAUGGGUCGUCAACCACGAGUAUCGAUUAUAUGGAAGUCCCUUAACCUAUUUCAACCAUCAAAGCCACAGAAUUCAUGUCUAUAUCUCUCCUUUUACAUGUAAAGAGGCAUGGUGAGGACAUUGGAUUCAGUGUACGGACCUUAGAAGUAGGGUUUACAGGUUGGAUUCGGGUGCAUCUGGGCCGUACAUUUCCAUUUGCUACACAGGUUUCGCAGUGCAACCCUGAGUCACAAUUGCCAUUCGAUACGCACGUUUGUCCUUCCUGUUCAAGACAUAUAUGUAUAAAAACACUGAGAACUGACAUUUUAACGAAAGACAUAAAAGAGUCUCCUCCUGAUGGGGGCAUACCUUGAGAGCAGAGCAAAAUCCAAAGAGAAGACAAGUGAUGAUCAGCCUGGUAAUCAACUGCAAAUGAAUUGCAGUGUAUUGUGUCAGUUUUCCAUUGAUGACAGAUAAGAAGAAGAAGAAGAAUGAUAGUUGAAACUUGCCUGCAUUGAUUGGUUUUUGGAGCUUGCUUUUUUUUUUUUAAUUUGAAUUUCGUUUUUGCUUCCCUCUGAGUUUAAAUAAGAUCAGAAUUUGAAGAGCAUUAAGUUUAUGGUAAAUUGUAUUUGAUUGCGGUGAGUGGAGAUCUUUAUAUAGGCAUCUAAGCAGACCCCAAAAAAAAUGCAGGUGUUUCAUGCGCCGCAGUGAGGUUAGCUAACCAGGCCAUGCUUUGCUGAACUAGUUAAUGAUUUUUCCGUAGUCAAUGAUGAUUACCUCAGUUUAAUAAAUAAAAAUUACACUUUCUUUUUUCUAAUUUGACAUCUCCUACUUGAUAUAUUUUGGUAACAAUGAUAAUGAUAACUUUUUAAUCUGUUAACAAUGAUAAUGAUAGCUUUUUAAUUUAUUAUUUGGAUUUUAGAUUCGAUUUUAUGAAAUUUUAUAAUUAGUUUAUAGUAUUAGUAAUUAAUUUUUAUUAAAUUAAUCUUAAAAUUUAUUUUAAAUAAAGAUAAAAUUAAAUAAAUUCACAAUUAAUAAUAAAUUUAUUCUGUUAACAAAAUUAUAAAAAAUUCAAUCUUACUAAUAUUAGAAAUUGAUUUUCAUUAAAUUAAUUUUAAAACUUGAAUUAAAUACUAAAAAAUUAACACAGUUAUCUUUAAAUACUAAAACAUGUAACUUUUUUUUUUCAAAUACUGGUACCACAAUGAAAAAAAACUUCAACCCUAAAAGUAAUUGAAUAAUUGAAAGUUUGAAAUAAGAGAUUCUGAUCUUUAUUUUUUUCAGUUUCGUUAUCGUUAUGCCAAUUUUAUGAUUCAUAUUUAGAUUUGUGUUUAUUUCUCUCAAUAAUAUUAUUUUUAAAAUUUAAACAUAUGUAUUUUUUUAAGUUUUUUACAACUACACUAAAAAAAUCAUAAUAAGUUUGAGAGGAAAUAAAAUCCCAAACAAGAGUGCAAUGAAAGUUUGUUGCUUAAAGUCUUUCUCUUAUAUUUUGCUUGCAAUAAUCGAUCAAUAAAUUUUAUAAUUAACUAUAAAAUUCUUAAUUGAGUAAUUAUAAAUCAACUCAAUUAAAAAAUGUCAAUUUAAAAAAAAAGUAAAAAUGUUAAAUUUAGAAAAUAACAUAACUCUCUUUUGAAGAAGAGAUAAUAACUAAAUGCAAAUAGGGCAAAAAUAAUUUAAUAAAUUUUAAUUAUUUUUUAAAUAAAACAAAACCAACAUUAUCUAAAAAGAAUUCACUUCCAAACAAAAAAAUCUAUCUACUCUUUUCACAAACCUUCUACUAUUUUUUAGAAUUAAAUUUUUUUCUCUCACUAAAUUCAAAAAUUAUAUGCCAUAACUAUCUUUUUAAAAAAAACUAUUCUUUUAUCCAAAAAAGAAAUAUCAACUUAUCUUUUAAAAUUGUAAUUAAAAUGUAAAGAAGAUGCUGUCCAUGCUUGUUAUCCUUGAAUAUUUCAAUAUAUUAUUACUUAAUAAUAUUUAAAUUGGAUAUUUAAUAUAUGGAAUUUUGUUGAACUAAAAAUCAGAUUAGAAAUUUUAUAAAAGAAAAUUCAAACUAGGAUUAAUGUCACUUAGUGGAAAAUGAUUUUUUUUUAAAAAUAAUACUUAUUAAAAAUAAUUAUACAGUUCAAUUGAGUAUUAACUCGAUUGGUAUCAAUAUUAUUAUUAAAAAUAUAUUAUUUUUCUAUUUAAAAAUUAGAGAUAAACUACGAGAAUUGAAUCAGGUUUUAAUAGAAAAAACUGUGUGGAUCAUAUUUUUUCAUUGACCAACAAAUAAUCGAGGACAAGGAGCGGUAGCUUCAGCAAGCAGCUAGCUUUAAAAUAUCUAUCACAAAAUGUAUAGAUUACGUUUUGAAUACAACAUUUCAUUGUGUCCUUUUAACACCCCCCCCCCCCCCCCCCCCAAGUCAAAUUCCCAGAACUCACAGCUGUGAGCCAAAGCAGAAGCUGCCAUCGACCAUUGAUUUUAACUUACCUCUAUCUAUCACUAUCAGCCCCAAGUCCGCUGCACGACAACUCAAAAGCAGCUGUUCCAUAAAUCCAUUCCUUGAGCUCCCAUCUAUCUAAAUAAUCUAUUUCAAAAAAUAAUAAUCACGGUUUAAAUGGAUUAUCUAUACAAAUCCCGGGAGAGAUUUUUGAUGCCGCACUCAGCACUCCAAUCCCUUUCAACGAAACAAACGAGGAUGUGUUAUGCUGGAAACAUACGAAUGAUAGAGACUUUUCCAUGGCCAACAUAUACAAUGUGGCUGCACCAAGUGUGAAGACUCAACCUUUCGAAAGCGAAGAAAAAUGGUGAUCACUAUGGAAAGCCAAACUCCCAUCAAAGCUGAGAAUUUUUCUUUGGAAAUGUGUUAAUAAGAUUUUACCUACGGCUAACUUCUUGAAUGUUAGAGAUUUAAAUUUCUAGGAUAUAUGUCAUUUAUGCAGAGUCAAUUGCAACCAUAUUAGUCAUAUUCUAAGAGCCUACAGCAUUGUCAAAGACUGGUGGACUAUCAGUCUAUCACCAUGGCGCAUCAUAAUCGUCUACCGCCCUUAGAUAGUGAUUGGGAGAACUGGAUUUUCUCCAAUCUAGAUUCUAAAGUUUGGAUUAGUAACCCACAGCUCCUUUGGUACUACGUUUUCUCCUCUGCACUGUGAGAAAUAUGGUUGCUGAGAAAUGCCAUGGUCUUCAACAGAAACAUUAAACAAGGAAAUGUGAGGCUUAGAGCUUUGGAAGGGACAAGUGAAUUUUUUCUAUAUCCCCAGUUAUAAGAGUGGUAUCCACAUUUCGCAGUGGUUGGUAGAUGGCAGCCGCCUGGUCAAGGUUGGAAAAAAUUAAAUACUGAUAGUUCCUCGAUCGGUAAUUAGGGUGCGGGAUGGCCUUAAGCUUACAGUUGAUUUGAGCAUUUCAUAUCUUGAAAUUGAAGUUGAUUCUACUACAGUUAUUUCCCUUAUUUCUAAUGUUUCAGUUUCUAACACUCUUCUUGCUACUCCGAUUAACGAUUGCAGUGCGCUCCGAAAAGUAUAUUUUAGAGAAGGAAACCGGAGUGCUAACGCGGGAACAACUUCCAUAUUAAUGCCCCCCCCCCCCCAAAACUACACCCAAAAAAAAAAAAACAGUCUAGCUAGAUAUGCUUUUGUUGUUAUUUGUGAUGAGCCCCCUUGAGACUUCGCUGUUGUUUGUUCUAGCUAAGGCAUAUGGACUACCCAUCAUGCGAACAAUUAUGUUAUAUCUUGCUUUAAUCUAAAUUCCUUUUAUUACCAAAAAGUAAAAAUUUAUAACGCUGAAAUUAAAGUUGAUUUUAUUCCAAAAUGGCAUAGAAGGAAUAAUUAUGUUCAGACUGAUUAUUACUCUUACCUUAAAAUUUUUACAUAGCACAGGCGUGUUUGGGCUGUUUCCGGAACCCAUAUCAUUAAAUUUCAUUUUGGCUCGAUUUCACAGUAAAGAACAGAACCAAUUUGAUAUCAUUAAAUCAAUAUUCUAAACAAAUGUUGGAGGCGAAUGAUAGCAACUGAACUCAAAAACACAUAGAUUUAAUUGAGGUUCAAGUUGCAGACCUUUCAACAAUAAGAUGUAGGCAUCAACAGGGUAAAGUAAAGCUCUGGUGAAGCAAUAAUCCUAAGGCUUAGGUUUUGUUUAGCAUUACUUUCUAAAAAAGUGCUUUUACAGUGAAAAAUACUUUUAUAGUAAGAAACAAUGCUAAACAAACAACUUUUUAAAUUAGAGAUGCUUUUGAAAAAUGUUUUUAUCCCAAAAGUAAAAGUCUCUUUUUUUUAGCUUUUACUUUUAGCAAAAGUACUUUUAGUAGUAAAUGACAAUUUUAACCUUUAUAAUGUAUUUUAUAUAAUAUUUAUAUUGAGAAUGUAAUUACUUUGCUAUUGAAAUUUAUUUUAAAUAUAAAAUAUUAUAUAUUUAUUGGUUAUAUUUUAAUAUUUAAAAUAGUAUAUAUUCAAAUUAAAUUUUAUAAAUAAUUAAUAUUAAUUAAUUAAAAAAUAUUUAAAAAUUUAUAUUUCAUAUAUUAAAAUAUUAACAAUAAAUUAUAAUAAAUUAUUUUUUAUAUUCUUACUAAAAGGUAAUAAUAUUAACGAAUUUGAACAUUAUGCAUAUUUAUUACUUUAUAACAUCAUAUUCAAAAUAGACAUUUUAUUUCUCAAAACACUUUUUGACAGUAAUACUAAGUACUUAAAUUUUAAACCAAAAUUUUUAAAAAUAUUUUUUAAAAUCACUUUUUCACAACAUUUUUUAAAAGCACUUCUCAAAAGUAAUGCUAAACUAUCAAGUUUGUCCAUCGUCUUUAUGUACUUAUACUUCACACUCGACACUUUUAAUAAUAGAAUACAUGUAUGUAUCAACAAAUGCAAACAUGCACCAUACAGGCUAUUAAGCUUUCAAGUAAUCGUUUUUGGAUGAUUAUCAUAUAUCAUUGUAUAUGAUUGAAGUUAUUUUACUUUUUAUAUCAUUUCAUAUAUUCAAAGGAUCAUAUCUUUAUAUUCAUAUUUGAAUUGAUAUUGUACUAUUAUAUAUUAUAAAUUUUAGAAAAAAAAAGUGUGAUUCACAAAAAUUGAUCUUUCGAGUCACAAUUACAAGUAUUUAAAAAGAAGAUAAAUAAUUUAAAUAUAAUGUAAGAGGAAAAUUAACUCUAAUCAAAAGAAUUGAUUAAUAUGAAUUUAUUGUGUGUAGAAUAAAACCUUUAUAUUUAAUGACUCUCAAAUCCUCUCAUUCACCAACUAUUGCUUAUGCUAUUUGCCCUCUCGUCUUUGCAACUAGGACUUCUGAACUUGACUAGCUCAUUCCAUUAGUUCACUUUGUCGGGGUUGGGGUUGGGGUUUGGGGGGGGGGGGGGAUAGAGGUCUUCCUUCGAAGGAUUGAGCUUUUGUUCCCUGACCACCACCUUAAGAAGUUCCCAAAACUCCGUGUAGACCCUAACAAUGACAGUUAAGUCUUGUGACUUUGGACAACCACCAAUUGUCCGAGAUAAAGAAUUUCGACAUAUCAAAAGUCAAAGGUGUUCAUGAAUGAGUUUGAGUGGAGGCUGGACCUAUCUAUAAUAUUUUUUAUAAUAUUUUUCUUAUUCGUUUCACAGUUUGUUUUUGGGUUAUCUAUUUCAAAAAUGUCAUUUUUAAGGUUCGAAUUUAUGUUAUUUCCUUAAAGUGUAAUAUGCUUCACCCUUAUACUCAACACUUAUUAGUACUUAUUUAUGAUAUUAGUACAUUCUAUAUUUGCUCAAAUUCGGCUCGAUUUGAAAAAAUUUUGUUCAAACAAAUUCAUAUUUGUAAAUGAACUAAACUCCAUUUAGAAUCACUCAUAUUAUUUUUAAUUUAAUAUUUAAUAUUUUAGAUGGGUUUUUAUUAAAAUUUUAAAUUUAAAUAACUUAAAAGAUUUUUUAAUGUUUACAUAGAAUUGUAUUAUUAUGUAUGGGUUAUUAUUUGGUACACAUACAAUAUAAUUUUUUUUUUAUUUAUUCCACAAGUAGUCUUAAAAUUGUCAUGUAUCUUUCUUUUUUUAAAUAUUUAUUUUUUUAAUAUUUUACUACACCAUUACAGGACACUUGUCAAUCUCUUGACCUUACUUAUAGAGUCUAAAAACCCAGCUAACAAGGUAGCAAAUAUUAUUCCAUUAUAUAUUUACUUUUAUGUGAUAUAAAUUACAUAAUAUAUAAAAUACAAAUACACAUAUUUUACAAAAGUAUAAAAUGGGUUGAACCAAGCUCGAGGCUCAAAUGUUGAAACCUAAUCCAUAAUCAUAUUUUAAACAUGUCUAUUUUUUUUUCUCAAAUCCAUUUUCCGAGCAUCAUAUUUUUACUCAAAUCUUCUCACAUUUCAAAUAGAACUUUAAGCUUAAGUGAAUAGCUCAACCCAUAAAUGCACAUAGUUUCAAAAAUAAUUUUUAAUGGAGACUAAAAAAAGAAGAAAAUUGGAUUUACUUAAAAGAAAUAUUAGAUUUCCAUGAUGGCUUCUACAUUAUCUAAAAAGGAAAAUCCCUAUAACGGAAACAAAACAAAAGGUGAGUUUCAAUGUAAUAAUCUCCUUAAAAAAAUUUACAUUGACACUCUAAUUGAAUAUCGACAUUGUCAAGUGCUAGUUAAUUAAAAAAAAAAAAAGGUAGGUAGUGAAAUUGAGGCCAAUCACGUUCGUUUCUUCAAUGAGUGGUUUUAUCAAUGCAAGUUAAUUGAUUUGGAAAUUACUAAUGGGGAAUUUAUCUACUCUAAUCAUAGUGCUGAUUCAAACAACAUACAAGAAAGACUAGAUCAAGUAUUUAUAAAUGUGAGAGUGGAGUAAAAUAAUUCCAUCAAGCUAUGGAAUCUUAUAGCUAGCCAUAAAAUUGAAUUACAACUGAUUUUCGUUGCACUUCAUAAAAGAGUUGGAAAGAAAAAAAGAAAUAUUUCAAUUUGAAGCUAAGUGAUUACCUCCAAUGCCUAGAAUCAACUUAAGGUGAGGAAUCAAAACUUUCAAGAAAAACUAAAUAAUGCUAAACAACUAUUCCAAGAGUGAAGUAAGAACAAGAAUGAAAUCCGAGGAAGAGCACAAAAUUGCAAAGGAAAAUCGAACAAUUUUAGGUUAGAUUAAAAUCGGUGCAGACAAUUAAAGACUAAAGAGAUAAAGCACAACCAAAUGAGAUUUUCGAAGUAAAAGAAUGUUACUGGCAUUAAAAGAUGAAAGAGUCAAAUUGAUCUAAUAAGGAAACAUAAAUGCUAGAUUCUUUCAUACCACCACCAAUAAUAAUAAGAGGAGAAUCAAUAAAAUUCACACAAUGGGAUUGGAUUUCAAACGAAAGACGUGUGGCAUUAUCAUCUUUCUUCAAAGGUUGAAGAAGUGCUAAUAAGAAUGGAGAAGGUGAUUAUAGAGAAAAUGAAUAACUAAUUGUGUCGAAAGGUCACAAAGUUGAAAACCCUUAAUUCUGAUAAUUUUUUCAAUUUUAUUUUAUCAAAUAUACUGAUAUAAAUUCCAUCCACAUUGUCUUUUUUUUUUUUCAAUGCAAAAAAUGCUUAGAUUCAAUCUCACACUAUCAACUACUUUGCUUACAAAAUUAUAACAAUAAAUCAUGACCUCGAGAAUGAAGCUGCUACUUAAGGAUACCAUUUCAUAGGCACAACUUGUCUUCAUCCUUAAAAGGCAAAUUGAGGAUACUAUUAUCGUGACCCAUGAAAUAUUGGAUGUUUAAUAAUAAUAAAAAAAAAAAAGAAAAUGAGGGUGCAAUGGAAGAUGGUGCUUAAGUUGGAUUUAGAGAAGGUAUAUGAUAAGGUUAAUUAAAAAAAAUUAAAUUAUUUUGAGGAAAAUGAGAUUAUACGUUUUUGAGUUAGUCACAUUGUGAAAUGUGUUACAUCUCUGAAAUUUUCCAUCAUCAUCAAUAGUAACUGAAGCAGGAAUUCAAGCCAGGUGAAAUCCUGUCCCUUUUCCUUUUUGCUAUUAUAACCAAUGCUCUCUUAAGACUACUAGAGCCUGCUAAAAACUCGAGGAUGUUGAUUGUUUGACUCAUUCAUAUUUGUUGUUCACUCAUGAUUUAUGAUUUUUAUAAAAGUUAACGUCAAUUUGGAGUCUUAACACCAUUCCAAGGGUGACAAUUAGGUUCAUUUUGCAUGCAUAACAAUGCAUUGCUUCAAAGGAAAAUUUAAUGGAGAGGCAUCAAAAAUAUUUGAGUCAUUGUCACAGGUGUAAAUUAAUUAAGAUUCAUGGUUUGCAAUGAAUGGUUGCUGAAUUUGACAAUCUAAACCUGAUCAAUGCCCUAAACAGUUGUUGUGGAGUCCCCUAGGAAGCUGAUGUGACCAUCCACGAUAUUCAUAUUCUACUUCCAUCUUAUUCGUGUUGAAAAGUCAAAAAUGGGAGGUGCAAGUGGCACCGAAAGAAAAAAAGUGAUAGGCAAGUUGUUUAAAGUUGAAUGGGAUAAUUGCAAUUUUGGUCCCUAAUUUUUUAGGCCAUUUGCAAGUUAGUCCCUGAACCUCAACUAUAAAUAGGCCUAACCAUUUCUCAUUUCAACCAUCCCAACCAAUCUUUCUCUCUUAGUUUUCUCUCUUCUCCCAUUUGAGAAUUCUUAAGGAAUUCUAUAUGUUUGUAAUACUUUGGAGAUAGUAAAGUUAUCAUCUGGUGUUAGUGCCCGAGGACGUAGGUAUAAUUUACCGAACCUCGUUAAAUCUCUUGUGUUCUUUCUUGUCCUAUUUUUCUUUCAAUAUUUGAGGGUAUAAUAGUAGUAUUUAAUUGUGCUAUUAAAUUACUAUAGAAGGGAUAUUCUGUCUAAGGAAAGACUUGGUAUUUAAGAGAUCCAUGUGAUCCACCUCUCUUCCCUGGGAAUUGAACUUUGUGUGAUUUUUUAGUAUAAUAAUUUACACGCUUCCAACCCUAUUGGAACAACAAGUGGUAUCAAGAGCCGAAGGUUAAUCGUAGUAUGCUCUGUGGUUGCAGUUUAAACUGAUCUUCCACAUCAGAAAAGAUUUCCUUAGGUAUAUUGAAAGAUUAUGGAGAAAAUGGUCGGUGUAGGAGCUUCAACAUCGUCCAUGUGGACAAGACCGAAAAUUGUAAAUGCAAGAUUGGCCGUGGAGAUCUUUGAUGGCACGGACCAUUUUGGUAUGUGGCAAAGUGAGGUUCUAGAUGCCCUUUUUCAACAGGGUCUAGACAUUGCCAUUGAUGAAGAGAAACCAGAUGAUGUAUAGGAGAAAGAUUGGAAGGCGAUCAAUCGGUUGGCAUGUGGCACAAUUCGAUCAUGCCUUUCUCGAGAGCAGAGGUAUGCUUUUUCAAAGGAGACUUCUGCAAAUAAGUUGUGGGUGGCACUUGAAGAAAAAUUUUUGAAGAAAAACAGUCAAAAUAAGCUCCACUUGAAGAAAAGACUGUUUCGCUUCACAUACGUCCCAAGUACCACAAUGAAUGACCACAUCACCAAAUUUAAUCAGUUAGUCACUGAUUUGCUGAAUAUGGAUGAGACAUUCAAAGAUGAAGAUUUGGCUUUGAUGCUGUUGGGGUCACUUCCUAAGGAGUUUGAGUUCCUAGAAACUACUCUACUUCAUGGCAGGAGUGAUAUAUCUCUGAGCGAAGUCUGUGCGGCCUUAUACAGUUAUGAACAGAGAAAGAAGGACAAAUAGAAAAACUCAAUCAGAGAUACAGAAGCUUUAGUAGUCCGAGGUCGUUCAUACACUCGGAAGAAAACUCAAAAGGGGAGAUCAAAGUCAAAGUCCAGACUCGGGAAAGAUGAAUGUGCUUUUUGUCAUGAGAAAGGCCACUGGAAGAAAAAUUGUCCAAAGCUGAAGAAUAAGGGAAAAGCUGCUGUAGAUGCUUGUAUUGCUAAGCAUGAUACUAGUGACUCUGAACUAUCACUGGUUGCAUCAUCAUCGUCGUUCCAUUCAGAUGAGUGGAUAUUGGAUUCGGGUUGUACCUAUCAUAUGUCCCCUAACCGGGAGUGGUUCUCUGAUUUAGUAGAACUAAAUGGAGGAGUUGUUUAUAUGGGCAAUGACAAUGCCUGUAAAACUGUUGGGAUAGGUUCAAUCCAAUUAAAGAAUCAAGAUGGAUCAACCAGAGUUCUGACUGAUGUUCGGUACGUGCCCAGUUUGAAGAAAAAUCUCAUCUCAUUGGGAGCCUUGGAAUCCAAUGGUUCAGUUGUUACUAUGAGAGAUGGGAUUUUGAAAGUGACAUCUGGCGCACUUGUGAUAUUGAAGGGCAUCAGGAAAAAUAACUUGUAUUACUACCAAGGUAGUACAGUUAUUGGAGCAGUCGCUGCAACUUCCGGCAACAAAGAAUUGGACUCAAUACAGUUGUGGCAUUUGAAGUUGGGACAUGCCAACGAAAAAUCCUUGCAAAUUCUGGCAAAGCAAGGAUUGUUGAAAGGUACAAAGGCUUGCAAAUUAAAAUUUUGCGAGCAUUGUGUUCUGGGAAAGCAAAAGAGAGUGAAAUUCGGUACUGCUAUCCAUAAUACAAAAGGUAUUUUGGAAUAUGUUCACUCAGAUGUGUGGGGGCCUUCCAAGACACCUUCAUUGGGAGGAAAACACUACUUUGUUACUUUUGUUGAUGACUUUUCCAGAAGAGUUUGGGUGUAUACCAUGAGAACUAAGAAUGAAGUGCUUAGAGUUUUUCUUAAAUGGAAAACUAUGAUCGAAAACCAGACUGGCAAGAAAAUCAAGCGGCUUAGGACGGACAAUGGAGGGGAAUAUAAAAGUGAUCCGUUCUUCGAUGUGUGCCAAGAGUAUGGUAUUGUUCGACACUUCACAGUUAGGGAUACACCACAGCAGAAUGGAUUGGCAGAGCGUAUGAAUCGAACAUUGCUGGAGAAAGUUCGAUGUAUGUUGUCCAAUGCUGGGUUGGGCAAGCAAUUUUGGGCUGAGGCUGUGACAUACGCUGGCCAUCUUGUUAAUCGUUUGCCAUCAUCUGCAUUAGAAAGAAAAACUCCUAUGGAGGUAUGGUCUGGAAAACCGGCUACAGAUUAUGAUUCCUUACAUGUGUUUAGAUCCACUGCAUAUUACCAUGUGAAGGAGUCAAAGUUAGAUCCGAGGGCAAAGAAAGCUCUCUUUAUGGGAAUCACUUCUGGAGUGAAGGGAUUUCGUCUUUGGUGCUUAAGCACAAAGAAAAUGAUCUGUAGCAGAGAUGUUACCUUUGAUGAAUCUGCCACAUUGAAAAAGGUAGCAGAUAAAGAUAUUCAGACGAGCAAUACUCCACAGCAGGUGGAGUGUACUCCAAAACAGGUGGAGUUUGAGCAGAUAGGAAUUUACCCAGUUAAUAAGUCUAAUUCUCCAGCCACAAUGGAGGAAUUAGAGGUUGAAGAGGUUCUGACCCAAGAACUACUAAGUACACUAGAACCAGUUGCAGUUGCAAGGCCACAGAGAGAAAUUCGUAAACCUGCUCGAUUUACUGAUAUGGUGGCCUACGCCCUUCCCGUUGUUGAUGAUAUUCCUAUCACUUAUCAAGAAGCAAUGCAAAGCUUAGAAAGUGAUAAAUGGAAAAGCGCCAUGGAUGAAGAAAUGCAGUCUCUCCUGAAGAACAAUACUUGGGAGUUGGCGCAAUUACCGAAAGGUAAAAGGGCAAUCGGAUGCAAGUGGGUAUUCGCAAAGAAAGAUGGAUCUCCUAGCAAGAAGGAUAUUCGCUACAAGGCAAGAUUGGUAGCUAAAGGCUACGCUCAGAAGGAGGGAAUUGACUACAAUGAUGUAUUUUCCCCUGUUGUGAAGCAUUCCUCCAUUAUAAUUUUGUUGGCCUUGGUAGCACAGUUGAAUUUGGAGCUAGUUCAACUUAAUGUUAAGACGGCUUUCUUGCAUGGUGAGUUAGAAGAGGAGAUCUAUAUGACUCAGCCAGAAGGAUACACAGAUGCUAGUGGUAAAAAUUGGGUUUGUAAGCUUAACAAAUCGCUAUAUGGAUUGAAGCAAUCCCCGAGGCAGUGGUACAAGCGAUUUGAUAGCUUUAUGAGAAGGCAGAAGUACACAAGAAGCAAAUAUGACAAUUGUGUAUAUUUGCAGAAGCUGCAUGACGGAUCUUUCAUUUAUCUACUCUUGUAUGUUGAUGAUAUGUUAAUCGCUUCGAAGAGCCAAAAUGAGAUAGAUAAGCUGAAGGCUCAGUUGAAUCAAGAGUUCGAGAUGAAAGAUCUAGGUGAGGCCAAGAAGAUUCUCGGCAUGAAGAUAAGUAGAGAUAGAACGAGAGGCAAGCUCUGUUUAAAUCAGAAGCAAUAUCUGAAAAAUGUAUUACAAUGUUUUGGUGUAAAUGAAAACACAAAACAUAUAAGUACCCCACUUGCUUCUCAUUUGAAACUUAGUGCUCAAUUAUCUCCGAAGACUGAAGAUGAAAAAGAAUAUAUGGCGAAAGUUCCAUAUGCUAAUGCAGUUGGGAGUUUGAUGUAUGCGAUGGUGUGUACGAGGCCUGACAUUUCACAAGCUGUUGGAGUUGUGAGCAGGUAUAUGCAUGAUCCUGGAAAAGGACAUUGGCAAGCUGUGAAAUGGAUUCUACGGUAUCUUUGAAAAACCGUAGAUGUUGGUUUAAUUUUUGAACAGGAUGAAGCACUUGGUCAGUUUGUAGUUGGAUAUGUUGAUUCCGACUUUGCUGGUGAUUUAGAUAAACGUCGUUCAACUACGGGGUAUCUGUUUACUCUUGCGAAAGCCCCAGUGAGUUGGAAGUCUACCUUACAGUCUACAGUAGCUGUGUCUACUACAGAGGCAGAAUAUAUGGCAGUUACAGAAGCUGUUAAGGAGGCUAUUUGGCUUAAUGGAUUGUUGAAAGACUUAGGAGUUGUUCAAAGUCACAUAAGUUUAUAUUGUGACAGUCAGAGCGCUAUUCAUUUAGCGAAAAAUCAAGUCUAUCAUUCAAGAACCAAGCAUAUCGACGUAAGAUAUCACUUUGUGCGGGAAGUCUUUGAAAAAGGAAAAAUUCUACUUCAGAAGAUUCCGACAGCAGAUAAUCCCGCAGAUAUGAUGACCAAGGUGGUAACAACAAUCAAGUUUAAUCAUUGUUUGAACUUGAUUAACAUCCUGAGAAUUUGAGCACCUUUAGGUGUAUGGCGCUCGAGAGCGCAUUUGGAGGCACUACAAAAGAUAGCUUUAUCGAAUUUGGGGAGUUGAAGGAAGUGUGUGAAGAUGUGAUUAUCCUAAUCAAAUCUUCAAGGUGGAGAUUGUUGAAAAGUCAAAAAUGGGAGGUACAAGUGGCACCGAAAGAAAAAAAGUGAUAGGCAAGUUGUUUAAAGUUGAAUGGGAUAAUUGCAAUUUUGGUCCCUAAUUUUUUAGGCCAUUUGCAAGUUAGUCCCUGAACCUCAACUAUAAAUAGGCCUAACCAUUUCUCAUUUCAACCAUCCCAACCAAUCUUUCUCUCUUAGUUUUCUCUCUUCUCCCAUUUGAGAAUUCUUAAGGAAUUCUAUUUGUUUGUAAUACUUUGGAGAUAGUAAAGUUAUCAUCUGGUGUUAGUGCCCGAGGACGUAGGUAUAAUUUACCGAACCUCGUUAAAUCUCUUGUGUUCUUUCUUGUCCUAUUUUUCUUUCAAUAUUUGAGGGUAUAAUAGUAGUAUUUAAUUGUGCUAUUAAAUUACUAUAGAAGGGAUAUUCUGUCUAAAGAAAGACUUGGUAUUUAAGAGAUCCAUGUGAUCCACCUCUCUUCCCUGAGAAUUGAACUUUGUGUGAUUUUUUAGUACAAUAAUUUACACGCUUCCGACCCUAUUGGAACAACAAUUCGAAUGUCCAAUUCGGUCAUAUAUUCCGAGAAGAAAAUUGUUGACUGAACUGCUAAGAGAACUAAAAAAAAGAAAAAGGGAAUGCCCCACUAAUUGGAUUGUGUUGCUUCCUGAUGAACUCAACUCCUUUAUGUAAUUUUCCUCUCAAUGAAAUGUUUACUAACAAAAAGAGAAAAAACCCUUUAUAUCUUACAUUGAUGAAAUAAGGCUCUUCUUUUCAUUUUCUUCAUGAAAAUUAAACUCAUUAUGUUGAAGAUAGGAAUCCAAUUAAUUUUGACUUAGCUUGAUUGGAUUGCAAGGGAUUCUUCUUUAAGAUAGAAUCUUAUUAUAUUUAUAAAAAGGAAAAAAUAAUAAAGAAGCAGAAGCAAAAGCAAAAUGUUCCAGGCGUGGACUGCAAGGAUUUCUUUUUUUUUUUUCCUUACAAAAAGCAUCGCCUGACUGUCCAAAAAAUAAAACAUAAAGUGUUGAUAAAAGCCAAUAAAAAAAAUAAAACCCUUAACAUUACCCAAAGUUGUAGGUUAAAAACAAAAAUAGCCAGACAGACCAACAGGUGCUGUGCAUCAAAAUCAAUGUCUAUUUUUCUAGUGAUAAGAUGAGGUUAAAACAUUUGUUUAAAACUGGAUAAGCAAAAGAAGCUGUAAUGUAACAUUUACUAGGAUGAAAAGAUUAGGUGUAAUGUUUUUGUCACCACAUUAGAAAAACUGAAUAGGAUUCCAAAUGAAACCCGUGCCCACAAAAUAUAAACAUGCUCAAAGAUUCCACUGUUUUGGGUAUUGGUCUUUGCAGUUUCCUCACGCCUCCCACAAUUCAUCUUGGUCCCACUUCAUGUAUCUUUUGCAAUAUACUUUAAGUCACAUUCAGAUAAUUUGCCGAUGCCUUAAUUACCUCAGCUAAAACCCCAUUGGGAAUGGAUAAACACAUCCCACUUCACUUGAAUAGUAUAAUAUAAUGUGGCUUAUUAGAAUUAUUUUUCUUACAUCAUUUUAUGUUUUGUAUUUAUAUUUUUAGUUCAUUUUUUUCUUAUGGUUACCUACCCUCAUCUGUCACUGUUUUGUUUGCCAAUAAAACAUCACACAAUUACAAAAAUUUAUAAGCAGCUGUUUUUUUUAUUUGACAGAAAAAAAGGAGGGGUGGGGGUUAAGAUAGCUUUAAUUUGUUGUAACGUUUGAAGACAAGAUAAGCUCAAGUUUUGGUGCAUAAGUAAUUAAUAAUUGUAAAUGAAGUUCCCUUUUCUACUUGGAAGUCACGGUCUAAGAAAAAGAAGAAAGAAACCCCAACUGACCAACGAUGAAUCAGACAUAGUUUGAACCAAAUACCUUAGAUAUGUCGACAAGACGAGUAUUGUUACACAGUUAAUGAAAAAGCGUCGUAGCAACUGACCCACUUCAAUUUGAUCCUUUGGGACCAUCGCUCCCUUUCAUUUGUUUCAGAUUUCCCAUGAGAAAAUUAGCCUAGGCCUUUAGGAGUAGAGAGUUGAGAACACCUACAGUCAGUGCACUGUUUAAAGAGUUGAAAGAGUGAGAGAAGGGUCAAAAGCCGCACUCACGCAUUGCUCAGUGACCAGUGUCCCCCUCUCUUUCUCUCUCUCUGUUACCCCCUUCUCUACGGUUCCUAGAUGUGCUGACAAUAGUACUCCAUCACUUAGAUUUCCCCAUUCUUUCUUCACAUCAUUUCCUCUCCUGUUUCUUCGGGUAAAACUUGAAAACAGAAAAGUUCUUUCCUGGUCUACGAUGGUGGUUUAUGCUAAGGCACUGUUGGGGUUCUUGACUUUUCUCGGUUUGCAGCUUCCUUUGAUACUGGCAGGUUAUGUUUCAAUCCCUUCUUGUUUCUAAAGCUGAGCUCUAUUUGUCUUUCUAAGCAAGUUGCAUUUGUUAUUAACUUGUUAUCACUUCUUUUUCUUUGUUCUAAAAGAUGCCAUUUUGGGUCAUUUAUUAUGUUUUUUUCCCCUUUCGGUCUGGGUAAGAGUGAAAAAUGGGUUUUUGGUUUUGAAGCAGAAAAUUUGGACAUGAUUUGCAUUUAUAUAAAAAUGCAGUCUUGUAAAGCUUAUCCAUUGUUUUAUUUUGAUUGUAACUGGCAUUAGAAUGUUUGAGCUACCUUCACUUUGUACCAACUUAUGUGGGUCAGAUGAUUUAUGGGUACUUUAUUUUCGUUUACUGAUCAAUUAAUUUUAAGACAACGCCAUGUUCAGUUCAACAUAUAUUGAAUUUCUGGAUUUAGCUUAAUGGAUACCUAGAGCUCUGUGUGAAGAAUUAAUGGCUAAAGGGCUAUUGUUUCAACUGGUUAUUUCUGGCUUUCAUUGAAUAUUUUUGUCGAGUAAAAAUGAUAUGGCAAUUUGAUUCCUAUAGUAUACUGUCGAUUUAUAGAUUUUCAUUUAAGGGUAGUCAAUAAGUACUUUUAGCUUAAAUUCAGUUUGAUUGAAUAAGGUACUUUUCCUUCAUAAUUAUCAGUAACUAGUCAUUUAAAGGCUGCAGAAAUCUUACCAUCAUACUAACGCCACCUUUCAAACAAGUUUUUUGUGAUUAUUAGUAAUCUAUUUUGCAAGUGAUGAAUUGUGAAGCAAAGGUAACAAUGUUAUUGUUACUUGACUCACUCUAUUCUGAUCAAUGGUCUUACAAAUUUUGCAGAUUGCCCCUUAGAUUUGAGUGGAUCAAAUUUUACUCUUGUGGCUUCUUUAUGCUCUAAUAAAGAUGACAGAGGAAAGUGUUGUCGCUAUAUGAAUGCUUUCGUUGCAUUCUCUGUUGCCCGGUAUGCAAAUAUGACAAGCGACCUAGGAGUUCCAUCAAAUUUAUCUAACAUCUGCAUCCAAUCCAUAUUGCAAACCAUGGAACUGUAUGGAGUGCCGCGUAAUGCCACCAUGUUUUGUGGGUUUGGUACAAAAAUUCCCGUUAGUUAUGACUGUAGGGGUCGAACCACUGUAACACAGAUGCUUGAGUCUCCAAAAUUUAUGGAUGUCACAAAGAACUGCAAACUGCCACUUUUGCAGGAAAAUGAUUGCCGGAAAUGUUUAAAUGCUGGCAUUGUUUACCUUCAUCAUCUAGUGGGAUCUGAAAAUAAUAUGACAUUGAGUACUUGCCGAGAUGCAACUUUUGCUGCACUAGCAAGCCAAGUCGAUGACACUUCAGCUGCCGAAAUUGCAGCUUGCUUUUUCCAAGUUCAGGGAUUUAACAUCCCACCAGGUAUGAAUCAUUUCAGAAAAAAAUCCACGAUUUGAUUUUGUAUGAGAACAGAGCAUAUCUAUUGACAUGUGGAUAGUUUUUGCAAGAUUUCUCCCGCUUUAGCAGUUUCUUGCAUGGCUCGAAUGUCUAUAAUUCCUCGUCUUUCCUCUUAUCUGCAGUUUUUAGAGCCAAUAAGCAUUAUUGAUACAUUGACUUUCUGGUAAUUAAAAUACUGUGUAGAACAAUCAUCAGGCUAGAUUUGAAUGCUUUUAUGGGGAUUGAUAAUAAACAUUGUACUGCUUUUGUGGCUUGUUCAAGAGGGGAAAAAAAGGAAAAGAAACCUCCAGUAUGCAUCUAAAAACUGAUGCUCCGAAUAUAUUAGUGUCAAAAUGUAUUUUUUCUUUCCUGUGUAACUGCCUUAAGACAUUACAUACAUGAAUAUGUUUUCCAAUGACUUAUUUUCUGUAAAUAAAUGAAUGUUUAUGUACUCCAUUGAAUCAGCUAGUAAAUUGUUGGAAUUUUUUAUGCUAGUUUCUGAGUCAUCUCCGUCUCCACCCACCCCAAAGGCUUCUCCUAGUCCGUUGGUUGCCGCUAGUCCAAAUCAACUUGUGUUGGGAGUACCUCCAGAACAAAAGCACCGUACUUACCAUCUCACGAUUAUUCCAGGCAUCGGCAUAGCAGUUACAGUAGCUGCCGUGAUGAUGCUUAUAGUAUUGGUAGUUUUGAUUCGUAGGAAAAAGAGAGAAUUGGAGGAUUCUGAGAGCAUGGACAUGAAUUCUUCCAAAUUCUUUUCUUCUCCUCGGCCCAUGCGUAAAUUUCAGGAAGGUUUGUUUGAUAUCACCUAUUCUCCUUUGACAAUGAUAAGUUUUGAACAUCAUUUUCCAAAGGGCAGUUGUGUAAUCUGAUAAGGAUUGGUGGUAAAUUCAGGCACUUCAUCAAUGUUUCGGAAAUAUAGCUACAAGGAAACCAAAAAGGCAACCGAAAAUUUUAACACCAUCAUUGGACGUGGAGGGUUUGGGACAGUAUACAAGGCUCAAUUUAGUGAUGGCUCAGUGGUAGCUGUGAAACGGAUGGACAAGGUUUCAGAGCAGGCAGAAGAUGAAUUUUGCAGAGAGAUAGAACUUCUUGCUAGAUUACACCACCGUCAUCUGGUUGCUCUAAGAGGAUUUUGCAUUGAAAAGCGUGAGAGGUAUAGUUCAUUCAUGUAUGUCUAUCAAGGCAAUUGAUCUGUCUACAGGCAAUAUUAAAUGCUUUUUACUUCGGGCAGGUUUCUAAUGUAUGAAUACAUGUCAAAUGGGAGCCUAAAGGAUCAUCUCCAUUGUAUGCUUCUCCAUUCCUUUGAUUCACUUCUCUAAAGUUUGAUAUUAUCUGUAUUUUAACUUCUCUGAUAAUUCGAUAACAAUUUUGUAUGCUUAAAUGUAGUAGAAUGGAAACUUAAUCAACUGCUUUCCCAUGUUAUUUUUGUAUGUUCAUUAUUGUUCAUUGCAUUUCUUAAAUGGAUAUGAUCUCGUAUUUUGCAGCCCCAGAAGAAACCCCACUGAGUUGGGAGGCCAGAAUACAAAUUGCCAUUGAUGUGGCUAAUGCGUUGGUAAUAGCAGUUGAUUCUGUUGUUUUUCAUAUUUGCAGAUUGGUUUAUACAAAAUUAUCAUCUUGCUAAACCACUUCUCUUUCCUUAUAUGGUUUGUUUUUGCAGGAGUACCUUCAUUUCUAUUGUGAUCCACCUCUAUGCCACAGGGACAUCAAAUCGAGCAACAUUUUAUUGGAUGAGAAUUUUGUUGCAAAGGUAUGGUACUUGUUGAAUGCUCAUUUAGUUGUUCUGCCACUGGUAUUUUGCUCUCAUGUAUAUAAGUAAACUCCUAAUGGAAUAUAACAAGUUCUCCCCAGAAUUUUGAUAGACACUUACAAACUUUUGAUUUCCACAUCAUUUUUCACAAUUUAUUUCUUGGUAUAUAUGUUUGCAAAUGAAAAAUGGAGUUGAAGUUUUAAUUACUAGAGCAAAAUUGAAUUCUACUUUCAAUAACUAGAGGAAGCUGAAAGCUGGUGAAAUAAUAAAAGGACAUUGUAAAACUAAGAGAAUAGUUUGAGAAUACGUAACAGUUUCUGAAGAGAUUCAUAGAAGAACCCUUUAUGUGAGAACUUUGAAUAACUUUUAUCUUCAGGUAAAAGCAUGAAAGUACAUUGCAUUAAAACAGUUUUUCUUUUCUGCUGUACUGUAUCCUCUAGGUUGCAGAUUUUGGGCUUGCACAUGCUUCAAAAGAUGGUUCUAUUUGCUUCGAACCAGUAAAUACUGACAUACGUGGAACUCCAGGUUAGCCAAUAAGUCAUUGGAAGUUUUAAUGUCUCGUAAUUAAAGAUCUAAACUUUAGAUGGCUUUCAGGUUAUAUGGAUCCCGAAUAUGUGGUCACUCAUGAGCUUACGGAUAAAAGUGAUGUAUACAGCUAUGGCGUGCUACUUUUGGAGAUUGUGACUGCUAGACAAGCCGUACAAGAUGGCAAGAACUUGGUUGAAUCAUCCCAGAUACUAAUGGCAUCAGAGUCAAGGUUACUUGAGCUAGUGGACCCCCAAAUCAAGGACUCCUUUGACUUAGACCAACUACAAACAGUUGUGACCAUUGUGAGAUGGUGCACCCAGAGAGAAGGACGGGCUAGACCCUCAAUCAAACAGGUCCUUAGACUUUUGUAUGAGAGUGCUGAUCCGAUGCAUAGUGGGUUCAUACAAGCUGUUGAAGAUGAAGAUUAUGAAGGUAGUGAUGGAAGAGGAAGGACAAGCAGAGGCAAAAUUCCUAGGAGUGGACCUUAUUGUCACAGUGGGGAUGGAAGAUAUCUUGCUUCAUCUUCAAGUACAUCAAGGUCAUAUUGUAGUAGAAGCUUUUUACUCGAAACUGGAUCACCACAAUCUCCUCAAAACGUACUCUCCCUUUGAGGCCAAUCACAUGAGACAGUUGCCUCAAUCUGAUUAAGCCGUAAUCAAGACCCGAGAGCUUGCUAUUAUGUGAUUUUACUCAUGAACUAGCAGGUAUGCGUGAUGUUUGUUAUGCAGAAUGUUCCUGUUGCAGAGGAAAUGAUAGCCAUCAAGCUUGUUACCUUUACAAAAGGGAAACAAAAGGACUCAAGAAGUGAUCAUCUUAUAAUUUUCCUGUUUAUGGUUGCUCUAAAUUUUUUGGAUAAAUGAGACAUAAAUGUAAUUUUCGUGUAUCAUUGGUACAGAGAUACGGAUAUUGCAGCUAAUCAUCAAGAUUGGCCUUUAUUGAUUCAAAAACCAAGAGAUGCCCCGGUGCAAUUAUUUUGUACUUAUAAUUACAUUCUAAUUAUUUCGGAUUCUUUUACGUAGGCGGUUUGAAAUUCCAUGGAGAAGUCAUUGUAUUCUUGUUAUAAAAACAAAAUACCAUAUAUAUGGUUCGGUAAUCUCAAGUGUCCCUUGUUUGCUAUGGUCGAAUUCGUUGGCGGCUAUGCACUUACAAGUUGGCAGUGCAAAAAUAAAGGGUUCCAAUGAUUCCCUGGGCCACCCCAUGCUUGUCGCGACUAAAAGGCUUAGUGUAAAUAUUAAGGUCGCUAUCAGGCAAACAAGUUUGGAAAAUUCCUUCUUGUAGUCCGGCCAUAGGAAAAUCAGAAGAUCCACUGGUUAGCCCCAUCACUAUGAUGUGCUCUUGAUUUUCUCGAUCACAUGGAUGAUCCAUGUAUAUAAGUAAGAUCCUCUUUAAGUUCUCAAAUACCAUAUCCGUGUGGUACUGCUGACUUGAACAAUGGAACAGCUCACUCCAUUAGGACUCAUCAUUUCUCUCUUUCUUUUCUUCCCUAUUGCCACAUCCUUGCCUACGUCAGGAAGGCCCAGGACCUACAUCAUCCACAUGGAUAUAUCGGCAAUGCCUGGUGCCUUUUCGAGCCAUCAUGAUUGGUACAUGUCAACCCUUUCAUCCCUGUCAUCACCAGACGGCUUUUCCCCAUUGCAUCUCUACACUUACAACCAUGUAAUGGAUGGGUUUAGCGCUGUGUUAUCCCAAGCCCACCUUGACCAACUUCACGAAUUAUCUGGUCAUCUUGCUACAUAUCCUGAAACAUUUGGGCACCUCCAUACCACACGUGCUCCUACCUUUCUUGGGUUGAAGAAACAUUCUGGGCUAUGGCCUGCGGGUGGAUUUGGUGAGGACAUGAUCAUUGGAGUCCUUGACUCUGGCAUCUGGCCCGAAAGCGAGAGCUUUAAUGAUGAAGGUUUGCCGCCGGUGCCAACGAGAUGGCGUGGUGCAUGUGAAACUGGUACAGAAUUCAAUGCAUCUUACUGCAACAGGAAGCUGAUUGGGGCACGAUCCUUCAGCAAAGGCAUGCAGCAGGAAAAACAGAAUAUAUCAAAAACAAAUGACUAUGAUUCACCGAGGGACUUUCUAGGUCAUGGUAGCCACACAUCGUCCAUAGCAGCGGGCAGCAGUGCGGUUGCUGCUGAAUAUUUUGGAUAUGCCAAAGGAAAAGCUAUAGGAAUGGCACCAAAGGCUAGGAUUGCCAUGUACAAAGUUCUGUUCUUUGAUGAAAGUUAUGAUGCUGCAGCAACAGAUGUACUGGCUGGCUUGGAUCAAGCUAUAGAGGAUGGUGUGGAUGUCCUGUCCCUGUCUUUGGGGUUCAUUGAGACUCCGUUUGAUGAAAACCCUAUUGCAAUUGGAGCAUUCGCAGCUUUGAAGAAAGGGAUAUUUGUUUCAUGCUCUGCUGGCAAUAAUGGCCCUCAUGCAUAUACCAUUCUCAAUGGGGCUCCCUGGAUCACUACCGUCGGUGCUGGAACCAUCGAUCGGGAAUUUGCAGCUCAUGUCACGUUUGGUGAUGGAGAGUUAACCGUAACAGGAAAAUCUGUAUAUCCAGAAAACUUGUUUGUUUCGGACAUUCCUAUAUACUUUGGACAUGGAAACCGAUCCAAAGAACUUUGUAACUCUCUCGACCCCAAAGAAGUUGCUGGAAAAUACAUAUUUUGUGAUUUCGACUCCAGCGGCCAAACUAAUGCCUAUGCACAAAUAUACGAAAUGGACACAGCUGGAGCUGCUGGAGCUAUCUUUAGCUCGUCCGAGGGGCCGUUUUUCCGACCCACAGAUUUCUUCAAGCCCUUUGUGUUGGUAAACCCGAAAUAUGGGGAUUUGUUAAAACAUUAUAUAAUCAAUUCCAAGAAUGCAACAGUGAGUAUCAGGUUUCAAACAACCCUCUUGGGUACUAAGCCAGCUCCUCAAGUGGCUUACUUUUCAUCUCGAGGACCUGAUAGAAAAUCACCAUGGAUACUGAAACCCGAUAUUUUGGCUCCUGGAGUCGACAUUUUAGCUGCUUGGGUCCCCAACAGAGGCUUUGCACCGAUCGAUGACGAUGAUUAUUUGCUAACAGAUUACGCUCUCGAAUCUGGAACAUCCAUGUCAUGCCCCCAUGCGGCUGGCAUAGCCACACUGCUUAAAGCUGCCCACCGCGACUGGAGUUCAGCAGCCAUCCGAUCAGCAAUGAUGACAACAGCUGAAGUUUUCGACAAUGCCAAUGGCCGUAUCAUUGACAUGACCACAGGAGUUGCUGGGACACCUCUUGAUUUCGGAGCAGGGCACAUAAAUCCUAACAAAGCCAUGGACCCUGGCCUUGUCUACGAUAUCGAGAUUCAAGACUACAUCAACUACCUUUGUGGGUUAAACUACACUAGCAAACAGAUCCGAACCAUCACGGGAAUGCGUCAGUUUAACUGUGAUAGUGCUACCCUGGAUCUUAAUUAUCCAUCAUUCAUCAUUCUCUUGAACAACACUAACACAACCAGCACCACCUUCCAAAGGGAACUCACAAAUGUAGCAGAAGGUAGCUCGGUUUAUCGAGCGGUUGUGAGGGCUCCUUCAGGCAUGAAAGCUGUAGUGCAACCUGAAACAAUUACCUUUGCAGGAAAAUACAGUAAAGCCAAGUUCCAACUCACAGUGGAGAUUGAUGUGGGAGUUGGAAGUAUCCCUGAAAGCGAUUACUUUGGGAAUUAUGGAUUUCUGAGCUGGUACGAGGUCAAUGGGAAACAUCAAGUUACAAGUCCAAUCGUUUCAGCAUUCGCACCUUGAAGCCGGAACGCCUGCUUGCCUGCAACUGUUUUUAUGUUUUUAAGAAGGAAAAUAAUGGAGCAAAAUAUAAAGGAAAGGAUUUAUAGCUCCACACACUAACAAAUUCCACAUUAGUUGUUGAUCGGUAACAAUGACAAGGAAUGAGAAUUACAUCAACUCCAUGAUAGAUAAUACAAUAAAACAAAAAUUUGGUUUGGGCUUCGAUUGGGAUGAAUCAAUUUUUAUUUAGGAUCUCAAUAUCUAUUAUAAACCUGUUUUAAACUUCUAAUAUCAUAUGCAAGAAACUGAUCCAUUAGUUUUAGGGUAAACUAUAAAAAUAGUCACUCAACUUUAGUCAAAUUUCAUUUUUACCACUAAACUAUAACAAGUUACGAUUUGGUCAUUAACAUAGUGAAGUUAUAAUGUUUUGGCCACUCAUUCUUUAACAGCUGUUACAACUUUAACGGAAAAAGUGACUUGACACGUUAACUCAAUGAUUAAUAUCUAAUUUGACCCUUGAACUAUAGUUAAAAUAUUUUGUUUGGUCGUUUUAUAUUUUUUUAACAAUAAUUCUAAAAAAAUAUCAAAAAACGUUUAAAAUAUAAAAAUUUUCAAAAAAUUAUUUAUCUUUUCAAACUAUAAAAAGAUAUUUUUAAAAUUAUAUCUAUGUAAAUUUUUAAAAAAAAAAACAUAAAAUCCUUAAAAAUUAAACUAAGUUGAGAGUUAAAUUUCAAAAGUUAUAAAAAAUUAAAAAAUUCUUCUAGAAAAAUCUAAAAUUUCAUUAUUUAUUUUUAAAAUUUUAAAAAACUUAUUUUAAAUAUAAUUUUCAUGUUUUCAUUUUUUUAAAAUUUUUUUUACAUAAUUAUAAUUUUAAAAAUAAUUUUUGUAAUUUCAAAAAAAUAAGUAUUUAAAGGUUUUUAUAUAUUUUUAGAGUUUAUUGAUAAUUUUUUUUAAAAUUAUCGUUUAAAAAAUUGUAAAAAUAACCAAAAUGAAUAUUUUAGAUAUAGUUCAAGGGUUAAAUUGGAUACUAACCCUUGAGUUAGGCCUAGUUUAGAAAUGUUUCUAAAAGUGUUUUUGGGAAAAAAAACACUUUUGGGAGAAACUAAAAUUUUUACUUUUAAAAAAAAUACUUUUAGGCCAAUUUUUGGCUUGGGAGAAGUACUUUUUCUCUAAAAAUAAAGCUUAUUUAGAAAUGUUUUUGUCCUAAAAACAUUUUUAGAAUCAUUCCUAAACUGGCCCUUAAUGUGGCGUAUCACUUUUCCAUUAAGAUUGUAAUGGUUGUUAAUGAAUUAGUGACCAAAACAUUAUAACUCAGUAACGUUAGCGGCCAAAAUGUAACUUUUCAUAGUUUAGUGGCAAAAGACUGAUGUGUUCUGAAUGGAGAAUUUUUUUUUUUUGAAAAGUGGACUGUAAUACCCUUCACUUGUCUCCGUCGCCAAAAUCGGAUUACGAAAUGCUAUAGUAAUAAACAGAACAGGAACAUGUGGAUUUAAUUCAAAAACUCAACAAAACAUUCAUCAUAUCUCAAUCAUUCAAACAAACAUGUUUUGCAUACAAUUUCGAGCUUAAAUCAAGCUUACGAAAGCUUUAAAAUCAACUCGGAAACAAUCAAUGACUAAAUUGAAAUUUUAGAAAAGAAUGGGAAAAAGUGUAAAACAGAGGUCACACAACCAUGUAAACAAGCCGUGUAACAAGUUGAGACCGUGUGGCCUUGACUCACACGGUCGUGUAUCCGAGUCGUGUAAUUCUCUAAGGCCAUGUGGGUCAAAGUGUAAAAUUCAACAAAUGUCACACGGUCAUGUGGCUAGACUGUGUAACUAACUUGGAUUGUGUAACCAAAACCUCACAAUUCAAAAUAGAGCACACAAUCAUGUCACUUUCCCGUGUGUGACACACGGCCGUGUGUGAGCUCGUGUAUGCUUUUAAACACCUUAGUACACAAGCUACCAAAUCAAAACUUUAUCUAGGUCAUUAAUAUACAUUUAACUAUGACUUACGUCUAACCAAAAUGCAUCAAAAACGUGCCAAAACAAUUCAUUUUCCUAUUUCUAACCAAUAUGCUCAAAGGCACCAUCACACAUAAAAAUAAAAUCCAAAAUAUCUCUUAUUUCAUUCCAAAAAUAAAUAAUGAUCAAACAUGUAUCUUGUACGCAACUAAAUACCAACUUUCAAUCAUCUAACAUUGGAUGAAAAUACCAAAUCUAUAACCUAUAAGAUAAAUAACCACACACCAAAUUACCACUACACAUAAUUGACCAUUUUACCAAACAUCACAUUCAAGGGUUACCAUUCAAACCAUAAGUUAGCAUAUUAACUAGCUAACUACUUAUAUACAAUUAUCAUUAUCAUAUAACACUUAACUUCAACAAAACAUAUAUUUACAAUUCAACUCCUAUUAUACCAUAUAACCAAAUUGAACAUUUAAAAGUAUACUAAAAUGGAGUCUGGAUAGUGUGAUCUUCAAUAAAAUCCAAUCGCCGAGUUUCACAAAAUGUUAACUAAAAGAAACAAAAAACGAAACAAAGUAAAAGCUUUAAAUAAGCUUAAUAAAUUCAUAAAUUUAAAUUUACACAUUUAUAAAUUAAUAUAGUAAUUAAAAAGUCUUCCACAUCACCACAAUUCACAUCAUCAAGUGAGUCAUCGAAUAUAUAAUGAAUAAACAUUUCAUUAAACAACAUUCAAUCUCAAUCAAAACUAUAUCAUUCCACCAUUGAAUGUAAGCACUUUUAUAUUUUAACUAAUUUAUCUAUAUUCUUGUCACCAUAUGUCACAUUUACAAGGUAAACAUUCUUUGUACAUAUAAACUAUUAACUAUUCAUUCAUUUCGAUGUCAAUUCUAAUUAAUUGUUAAACAUAUACACAUCAUUUGUUCUAUUCAAUCAUAUAACAUUUCAAUAACCAUAUAAACAUAUCCAUUUUCCAUGCCUCAUAAACAUAUCCUUUUCAAUUUAUCUCAUGGAAACAAUUAAUGCAUUUUCUUUUAAACAAUUAGCUCGAUGAAUUAAAAUAUAAGAUAUAGAUAAGCGGGUAACUACACCACACCAAAUAGUUUGAUAGAGCAAUAACUACACCACACUAAGACACCGGAGUGUAAAGCCCGUAGGCAUAAAUAUCAUAUCAUGUAAUGUAUCAUCCCUCCACCAUACUAAAUAACUCAAUAGAGCGAAAACUACACCACACCAAGGUCUCCGUAUAGGCAAAGCUCAGUAAUCCACAACAAAUGUAGGAUUACAGUGUAAACAAUGAUAUCUCCAUCAAAACUUUUACUCCACAACAUCUUUUACACAUAUCUCGUACUAGCGCACGAUCAACCAUAUUGGCAUGCUAAUUGUAUAUUAUCCUACAUUCAUCCAGGCUUUAAUAACACAUCGGCAUCAUUUAUUACAGUUCAUUCUAUUCCUUUCAUUUUGUAAUGUUUCGACCAAAAUUCAACAUAUAAUCACAUAUCAUACACUCGUAUACUAAAUUGUACAUUCAACCAAUACUACGCAUCUACUGUAUUUAUCAAAUUUCUCAUAUUUUCCAAUAUAGUCCUUUUUUCACUUUUUUGUACCAGUUGUACCAUUUUCAAAUACAUUUAAACAUCAUGAAAUAUACACUACAAAUAUAAACAUUACAAAUAUAUACAGAACUAUACCGUAUGAACUUACUAGGGCAAACAGCAAAAGCAGGAGUAUCAUAGACUAAUAUAUAAUUUUCUUUUUUCUUCAAUUAUCUAUCGGUUCUUAAUCUAUACAGCAAUUUAUUUUCAAUUAUCAGUUCCAAACACUUUAAAUCAUCUUAUUUCAUGUAUAUGACAUCUUUUGUUCAUUUUUCACAAUUUCCCUAAAGUUUUAUUUUUUAUUCAAUUUAAUCCCUAAAACUGAAACACACAUAACUUCCAAAUUCAAACUCCAAAUUUUAAAACAAUUUGUAUUACAUACUUUUAAAGCUGUCCAUUAUAAAAAAAUACAGAAAUUCCAACUAGCUUUUCACAAUUUUUCAUUUUAAUCCCUAUGAUCAAUCUUUACAAAUUAAUCCAUUUAUCAACUCUAAGCUUCUAAACUAUUAGUUCAAACCAAAAUCUUCGCAAUUCAAAAAUUAUAAAAAAUAUAAAAAUUCAUAAUACUAAUUUAUAUGGCUGAGUAAAAGAUAAUGCCAGUGUUAGAAGAUGUUGCGCGGAAGCGUGUGAAAGAGUAAAAUUAUUGUACUGAAAAAUCACACUAAGUUCAAUUCCCAGGAAAGAGAGGUAGAUCACGAAGAUCAUUUAAAUACCAAGUCUUUCCUAGCCAGAAUAUCCCUCUAUCGUAAUUUAAUAGCACAAUAAAUCACUACAAUCACAUUCACAAAAUAUGCAAAACAAAUAAUAAAGAACACCAGAAUUUUAACGAGGUUCAGCAAAUUUUGCCUACGUCCUCGGGCACUACCAAAUAUAUUUCACUCCAAAAAUUACAAGUGAAAUUUACAAAUAGAGAGAGAGAAUAAUGCCUUAAGUAGAGAAUGGCAAUUAUGGGAUGAAGAAAGUAAGCAAUGGUUAGGCCUAUUUAUAGUUGAGGUUCAAGGAUCAACUUGCAAUGUCCCUAUACAAUUAGGGACCAAAAUUGCAAUUAUCCCAUGCCAACUUUUAACCCAACUUGCCAACCAAUAUUACUUUCUACUUUCGGUGCCCACCCCAUUUGACUUUUCAAACAAUGGUGGAUUCCAAUAAUCUCCACCUUGAAGAUUUGAUUACGAUAAUCUUAUCUUCACACAAUUCUUUCUGCUUUUGACAACAAUACUUGAUAGUGCCUUCUUCAACUGUUAAACUUGCAGGAUAUUAAUCAAGUUCAAACAAUGUUCGAACUUGGUUGCUGUUACCACCUUGGUCAUCAUAUCUGCGGGAUUAUCUGCAGUUUUGAUCUUCUGAAGACAAAUUUUCCCCUCUUCAAUAAUUUCCCGCACAAAAUGGAAUCGUACGUCGAUAUGUUUUGUACGUGCAUGAUAGACUUGAUUCUUUGCUAAAUGAAUAGCACUUUGACUAUCACAAUACACGUUAAUAUGCUCCUGAACCAACCCCAAGGUUUUAGCCAUACCUUGUAACCAAAUAGCCUCCUUUACAGCCUCUGUUAUAGCCAUGUACUCGGCUUCUGUGGUUGACAAUGCAACUGUAGACUGUAGUGUAGACUUCCAACUUAUUGGUCCUCCAGCAAGUGUAAACACAUAACCGGUGGUUGAUCUUCGCUUGUCCAAAUCACCGGUAUAGUCAGAAUCAACGUACCCAAUAACACCUUUACCAAGUGUAUUAUCCUGCUUGAACAGUAAUCCAACAUCCACGGUCUUCUGAAUAUACCGUAGAAUCCAUUUCACAGCUUGCCAAUGUCCUUUUCCAGGAUUAUGCAUAUACCUGCUCACUAUACUAACUGCCUGUGAAAUGUCGGGUCUUGUACACACCAUUGCAUACAUCAAGCUACCCACUGCAUUAGAAUACGGAACUUGCAACAUGUAUUCUCGUUCCGUAUUCGUCGAAGGAGAUAGUUGUGCAGAAAGCUUGAAAUGAGAAGCCAACGGGGUACUUACAGGUUUUGUCUGCUCGUUCAUGCCAAACUGCUGUAGUACCUUUUUCAAAUACUACUUCUGAGACAAGCUAACUCUAUCAUGAGCUCUAUCUCUCCAUAUUUCCAUGCCGAGAAUCUUUUUAGCUUCUCCUAGAUCUUUCAUCUCAAACUCGAGAUUGAGUUGAGUCUUCAAUCUUUCAAUCUCAACUUUGCUCUCAGAUGCUAUUAGCAUAUCAUCAACAUAUAAGAGCAAGUAUAUGAAAGUUCCUUCUUGUAGCUUCUAAAAAUACACGCAAUGAUCAAAUUUACUUCUUGUGUACCUUUGCCCUUUCAUGAACUGAUCAAAUCGCUUGUACCACUGCCUCGGAGAUUGCUUCAAUCCAUAAAGCGACUUUGUCAGUUUGCAAACCCAAUUUUCUUUUCCAGCAACCUUGAAUCCAUCUGGCUGAGUCAUAUAGAUUUCCUCUUCCAAAUCACCGUGUAAAAACGCAGUCUUCACAUCAAGCUGAACUAGUUCAAGAUCAUAUUGCGCAACCAAGGCUAGUAAAAUCCGAAUAGACGAAUGCUUCACAACUGGAGAAAACACUUCAUUGUAGUCUAUUCCUUCUUUCUGAGCGUAACCCUUUGCUACUAAUCUAGCCUUGUAUCGAAUUUCAUUUUUAUCAGGAAAUCCUUCCUUCUUUGCAUAUACCCAUUUGCAUCCAAUUGCCUUCUUUCCCUUGGGUAGUGUCACCAACUCCCAGGUCUUAUUUUUAUGAAGAGACUGCAUUUCUUCAUUCAUUGCUUGCUUCCACUUUACACCAUCAGGGUUACUUAUUACUUCUGUGUAAGUAGAAGGAACAUCAUCAUCUAUAAUUGGAAGUGCAUAGGCCACUAUAUCAUCAAAGUGAGCAGGCUUACGAAUCUCUCUUCUUGGCCUUCUAUAUGCAAUUGAAUCUUGUUGCUGUAGAGGUUCUUGGGUAGGAACCUCUUCAUCAUUUGUCCCUUCAAUAUUAGCUGGAUCAUCGUUAACCUUUUCAAGCUUCACCUGCUGCAAAGUACUACUGGUUUUGUCAUCCUUUUGUGAAUCCUUGUACUUCAACAUGGUUGAUUCAUCAAAAGUCACAUCUCUACUGAAAAUAAUCUUCCUUGUAUCAGGACACCAGAGACGAUAUCCUUUUACUCCAUCAGUUAUACCCAAGAAUAAUGCUUUCUUUACUCUUGGGUCUAACUUAGAUUCUUUUACAUGAUAAUAUGCAGUGGAACCAAAUACAUGCAAAGAAUCAUAAUCAGUAGCAGAUUUACCAGUCCACAUCUCCAUAGGAGUUUUUCCAUUUAUUGCAGCUGAUGGCAAACGGUUAAUUAGAUGGCACGCAUAUGUAACUGCCUCAGCCCAAAAUUCUUUGCCCAAUCCAGCAUUAGACAACAUACAUCGAACUUUCUCCAGUAUAGUUCGAUUCAUUCGUUCUGCCACCCCAUUUUGCUGUGGUGUAUCCCGAACAGUGAAGUGUCGCACAAUGCCCUCAUCUUGGCAUACUUGUAGAAAUGGAUCGUUUUUGUACUCAGUACCAUUAUCUGAUCGAAGUCGUUUGACCUUUCGACCAGUCUGAGUCUCCACCAUCUUCUUCCAUUUCAGAAAUGCAUCCAAAACUUUACUUUUUCUUUUCAUUAGAUACACCCAUACUUUUCUUGAAUAAUCAUCAACAAAAGUAACAAAAUAGUGCAUACCUCCCAAAGAAGCUACUUUGGUAGGUCCCCACACAUCACUGUGAACGUAGUCCAGAAUUCCUUUCGUAUUGUGAAUUGCUGGACCAAAUUUUACCCUCUUCUGCUUGCCCAGAACACAAUGUUCACAGAAUUCCAUUUUGCAAGAAUUUGCACCUUUCAAUAAGUCUUGCUUCACCAAUGUCUGCAAAGCUUUUUCACCAGCAUGUCCCAAUCGCAUAUGCCAUAAUCUGGUAGCCUCUGAAUCUACAUCUUUUGUAGAAACUGUUGAUGUUAAUCCAAUAACUGUACUUCCAUUUAAAAAAUACAAGUUAUUUCUUCUUUUGCCUUUCAUCACCGUCAGUUUCCCAACUACUACUUUUAGUAAUCCAUCUCUCAAAGUGAUUGUGAGCCCUUUAGAUUCUAGGGCACCUAAUGAGAUGAGAUUUUUCUUCAGGCUAGGUACGUAGCGAACAUCUGUCAAGACUUGGAUUGAGCCGUCGUGAUUCUUCAAUUGGACUGUACCCACUCCCAUUGUCUUACAAGCACUAUCAUUGCCCAUAAGAACAAUUCCACCGUCUAGCUCUUUAAGACUAGAAAACCAGUCCUUAUUAGGACACAUAUGAUAAGUACAUCCUGAAUCCAAAAUCCACUCAUCCGUUUGACAUGCCAUUGCCAUGCCAACCAAGCUAAAGUUUGACUCCUCAUCAUGCUCCGCUACACAUGCAUUAGAAAUAGCCUUGCCCUUUUGUAGCUUAGGACAAUUCUUUUUCCAAUGCCCUUUUUCACGGCAAAAGGCACAUUCAUCUUUGGCGGGUCUCCCUUUGGACUUUCCCCUUCUACCAGAUUUGCUGCUGUGUGAACGACCUCUUACUGUUAAGACUUCUGCGGUUGUAUCUCUGUGAUCUCUUUUAUCUUUCUUUCGAGUCUCAGAUCUAUACAACGCACUACAGACUGCAUCAAAUGUGAUCGUGUCCUUCCCAUGAAGCAAUGUGGUGGUAAGAUGAUCAUAUUCAUCAAGAAGGGAAUUCAACAACAAUAAUGCAUUGUCUUCAUCUUCAAAUUUCUCAUCCAAAUUUAGCAAGUCUGCUAAAAUUUUAUUGAAUGAGUUCACAUGGUCAUUCAUCGAUAUACCGGGUGCAUACGUGAAUCGAUAAAGUUUCUUUUUCAUAUAAAGCCUAUUUUCAAGACUUUUCGUUAGAAACUUUUCUUCCAGUGUAUCCCAUAACUUCUUCGCUGAUGUCUCUCUCAUGACAGAGUACUUCUGCUCUUUGGCCAAACAUAGGCGGAUUGUACCACACGCCUGUCUAUUGAUCUUGGCCCACUCCUUGUCAUCCAUCUUGUCAGGUUUUUCUUCAAGGGCUAUAUCUAGCUCUUGCUGACAUAAGACAUCCAGGAUCUCACAUUGCCACAUACCAAAAUUAUUGGUACCGUCAAAUUUCUCUACUUCAAAUUUUGCAUUUGUCACAGUAGUCCUUGCUGAUGACGAUGCUGCUACCAUUUUUCUCCUUAAUCCCAACUACUGUAUACGUGAACAGUGUCGUAUACGUGAAUAGUACCAUAUACGUAAAUAGUUCUGUAUACGUGAAUAGUACCGUAAACGGUCGUAUUCCUCAAGUACGAACCUGGCUCUGGUACCAAUUGUUGCGCGGAAGUGUGUGAAAGAGUAAAAUUAUUGUACUGAAAAAUCACACUAAGUUCAAUUCCCAGGAAAGAGAGGUAGAUCACGAAGAUCACUUAAAUACCAAGUCUUUCCUAGCCAGAAUAUCCAUCUAUCGUAAUUUAAUAGCACAAUAAAUCACUACAAUCACAUUCACAAAAUAUGCAAAACAAAUAAUAAAGAACACCAGAAUUUUAACGAGGUUCAGUAAAUUUUGCCUACGUCCUCGGGCACUACCAAAUAUAUUUCACUCUAAAAAUUACAAGUGAAAUUUACAAAUAGAGAGAGAGAAUAAUGCCUUAAGUAGAGAAUGGAAAUUAUGGGAUGAAGAAAGUAAGUAAUGGUUAGGCCUAUUUAUAGUUGAGGUUCAAGGAUUAACUUGCAAUGUUCCUAUACAAUUAGGGACCAAAAUUGCAAUUAUCUCAUGCCAACUUUUAACCCAACUUGCCAACCAAUAUUACUUUCUACUUUCGGUGCCCACCCCAUUUGACUUUUCAAACAAUGGUGGGUUCCAAUAGAAGAUGAUGUUUAUGUUAGGAAUUCUUGGCAUUUCUGUGGCUAUUGUUUUUUAUUCAAGAAAUUUACUCUACAUACACAUACAAAAGUUAUAGCCGGGGUAAUGAUGCGAUUCCCAGCUAAAAGUUUAGACUCCCGACUUGAAACCGCAGCAAUACCACGACAUAGGGAGUCAAACUGUACCUGAAAAGCAAACAAAGAAGGGGUAAACAUGAAUCACAAAUUAAGACGCCUCUACUGGACCCUUCCCUUCCACAAUAUUAUCGUACCUCAAUCCCUCAACUCAAUGCAUGGUGUUUCUUAUGCAGCGCAAUUAAACGCCAUCAAACUUGUUUCGUGUACAAAAGGAUUCCAAAAGUGCUCCUUUCAUAUUUUUCCAGUUUAUGUUUGCUCUAAAUUUUUUGGACAAAUGAGACAUAAAUGUAUUCCUUUGCUUGUAUCAAGAUGGUCCGUUAUUAAUUCAAAAACUGAGGGAUACCUCAGUGCAAUACUUUUAAGGCAGUGUUAAGCUUCGUAUUCUUUUUUGCCAUGAAAGGCAUUUACCAUGAUAUGGGGUUCCGUAAUCUCAUGGAUUCUUUACUAGCUACCGUUGAAUUAAUUGGCAGCAGUGUACUUAAAGUUCACCGUGCAGAAACAAAGGGUUCCAAUGAUUCCUUAGGCCGACCCCAAGCUUGUCUUGACUUAAAGGCUUAGGGCGAAGAAAACCAAAAAGAUAUAUAUAUCAGCAAAUAUUAAGGUCGCUAUCAGGCAUACAAUGUUGGAAAAAUCCUUGUUUCUUCCUAAUGAGCCAUCUUACGAAGGAGUCUGGCCAUUGGGAAAUCAGAAGAUCCACUAGUUGUGAUCUUAAUUUUGCCGAUCAUAUGGAUGAUCCGUGUAUAUAUGUAAGAUCCUCUUUAAGUUUUCAAAUACCAUAUCCAAGUGGUACUGCUGACUUGAACAAUGGAACGGCUCAUACCAUUAGGACUCAUCAUUUCUCUAUUUCUUUUCUUUCCUAUUGCCAUAUCCUUGCCUGCGUCAGGAAGGCCUAGGACCUACAUCAUCAACAUGGACAAAUCGGCUAUGCCUGCUGCCUUUUCGAGCCAUCAUGAUUGGUACACGUCAACCCUUUCAUCCCUGUCAUCACCAGAUGGCUUUUCCCCAUUGCACCUCUACACUUACAACCAUGUGGGUUUAGCGCUGUGUUAUCCCAAGCCCACCUUGACCAACUUCACGAAUUAUCUAGUCAUCUUGCUACAUAUCCUGAAACAUUUGGGCACCUCUACACCACGUAUACCCCUACAUUUCUUGGGUUGAGGAAGCAUUAUGGGCUAUGGCCUGCAAGUGGUUUUGGUGAUGACAUGAUCAUUGGGGUCCUUGACACAGGCAUCUGGCCUGAAAGCGAGAGCUUUAACGAUGAAGGUUUUCCGCCAGUGCCAGAGAGAUGGCGUGGUGCAUGUGAAACCGGAACUGAAUUCAACUUAUCUUAUUGCAAUAGGAAGAUGACUGGGGCAAGAUCCUUCAGCAAAGGUAUGCAGCAGGAAAAACAGAAUAUAUCAAAAACAAAUGACUAUGAUUCACCGAGAGAUUUUAUUGGUCAUGGUAGCCACACAUCGUCCACAGCAGCUGGCAGCAGCGUGGUUGGUGCUGAAUAUUUUGGAUAUGCAAAAGGAAAAGCUAUAGGAAUGGCACCAAAGGCUAGGAUUGCCAUGUACAAAGUUCUGUUCUUUGAUGAAAGUUAUGAUGCUGCAGCAACAGAUGUACUGGUUGGCAUGGAUCAAGCUAUAGAGGAUGGUGUGGAUGUCAUGUCUUUGUCUUUGGGGUUCAUUGAGACUCCGUUUGAUGAAAACCCUAUUGCAAUUGGAGCAUUUGCAGCUUUGAAGAAAGGGAUAUUUGUUUCAUGCUCUGCUGGCAAUAAUGGCCCUCAUGCGUAUACCAUUCUCAAUGGGGCUCCCUGGAUCACUACCGUCGGUGCUGGAACCAUCGAUCGGGAAUUCGCAGCUCAUGUCACGCUUGGUGAUGGAGAGUUAACCGUAAUCGGAAAAUCUGUAUAUCCUGAAAACUUGUUUGUCUCAAAUGUUCAUAUAUACUUUUUACAUGGAAACCGAACCAAAGAACUCUGUGAAAUAUACUCUCUGGACCCCGAAGAAGUUGCAGGAAAAUACAUACUGUGAUUUUGACUCCAGCGGCCAAAAUAAUGCCUUGACCGUACAAAACUACGAAAUGGACAGAAGUGAAGCUGUUGGAGCUAUCUUUAGCUCGGACGAAGCACAGUUUUUCCGACCCACAGAUUUCUUCAAGCCCUUUGUGUUGGUAAACCCGAAAGAUGGAGACUUGGUAAAAGAUUAUAUAAUCAAUUCCAAGAAUGCAACAGUGAGUAUCAGGUUUCUAGCAACCCUUUUAGGUACUAAGCCAGCUCCCCAAGUGGCUGAUUUUUCAUCUCGAGGACCUGAUAGAAUAUCACCAUGGAUACUGAAACCCGAUAUUUUGGCUCCUGGAGUUGACAUUUUGGCUGCUUGGACCCCCAACAGAGGCUUUGUACCUAUUGGUGACCAUGAUUAUUUGCUUACAGAUUAUGCUAUCGUAUCUGGAACAUCCAUGUCAUGCCCCCAUGCAGCUGGCAUAGCCACUCUACUUAAAGCCACCCAUCGCGACUGGAGUUCAGCAGCCAUCCGAUCAGCAAUGAUGACAACAGCUGAUGUUAUCGACAAUGCAAAUGGUCGUAUCAUUGAUAUGAUCACAGGAGUUGCCGGGACACCUCUUGAUUUCGGAACAGGGCAUAUAAAUCCUAACAAAGCCAUAGACCCUGGCCUUGUUUAUGAUAUUGAGAUUCAAGAGUACAUCAACUACCUUUGUGGGUUAAACUACACUAGUAAACAGAUCCGGACUAUCACGGGCAUGCGUCACUUUAAAUGUGAUAGUGCUACCCUGGAUCUUAAUUACCCAUCAUUCAUCAUUCUCUUGAAUAAUACUAAAACAAUCAGCAUCACAUUCCGAAGGGAACUCACAAAUGUAGCAGAGGGGAGCUCAGUUUAUCGAGCAGUGGUGCGGACUCCGGACUCCUUCAGGCAUGAAAGCUGUAGUGCAACCUGAAACAAUUACCUUUGCCGGAAAAUACAGUAAAGCCAAGUUCUAACUUACGGUGGACAUUGAUGUCAGAGUUGGAAGUCUCCCUAAAAGCGAUUCCUUUGGGAAUUAUGGAUUCUUGAGCUAGUACGAGGUUAAUGGGAAACAUGAAGUUAGAAGCCCAAUAGUUUCAGCAUUCGCACCUUAAAGCCAAAGCGCCUGGAUAUUCCAUCUAUUUUAUGUUUUCAAUAAGAGAAACAAUGGAGCAAAAUAUAGAACAAAGAAUUUAUUUAGCUCAAUAUAUCAAUUUACAACAGAUGUUCCACAUUAGUGGUUGAUCAGUUACAAUGACAUGGCAUAAGAAUUACAUGGAAACUUUAAACUCCAACUCCAUGCAUGAUACACAACAGAACCACCCUGUCCUAUCUAUCACCAAUGAAACCUCGGCCGAAAAUUUUUUACAAAGAAAAGAGAGAUCAGAGACCAAGUAUAGAUAAAGCAUAGCUCAACUGUCUCAUCUAUUCAAUUUUGAAAAGAAAAAAUGGGGGUUUACAAGAAAGAACAUGUGGAACAUCUAAGCUAGUGCCAAACAAAUUUACUAGCAUGGCUCAGCGUAGAUGAACACACCCACCGUAGCAGGAAUAACAAGAAUGGCUGUAUAGCCACGUUGACCAAGUAUGCAAAGAGCUGGAGGGAAAUCAACAUGAUAGAUGGAAGGUAGGGCAAAUAACAACAUUUCAACCAAGAUAGCUUUAUUAGUAGCACCCAUCCUUCCAUGAGGAGCCAACUAUAAAAUUUAAAAACCAACUAAAUACAAAUUAAUAAAUUCAAUAGCUAAAUUAUAUAUUAUCUCUUUAUGUUUUUAUUAUUUGGCCAACAGACAAAGCUUGCUUAUUUAUAAAGAUAUAAAUUGUAGUCAAUGAUUUGGCCCCAAAAGAAUUGUCGUAGUUGAUAAUUUACUUCUAAAUAAGGAAAAAAGUGUUUCUCUAAUUAAUGUUUUAUUGAAAAUUUGAUCAGUUAUAAGAAAAACACGAUUUUGUUUUCAAAAAAAGUUAUUAAUAAAAAAUUUAAUCUUAAAAUUAUAUAUAAAUUUUGAUUUAAUAUGUAAUUUAUUCAUGAACUUUGAUUUAUAUAAUUUUAUUCAUUGACAUUAAUUUAAUUCAAUUUUUAUAAAUUUCUAAUACAAUUAUCGGUAUAGUACACUUAUGUUUAUAUAUUACAAUACAAAUAAUUAUAUAUAUAUAAUAUAAAAAUAAAUUGAUAUUUUUAUUCUUUUAAAUAUGUGCAAUUAAAUCAAAAUUAAAGUUUAAUAUAUACACUUGAAACUUAAUCAAAAUUUAUAAAGAGUUUUGAGAUUUACCCGCAAUUUUUUUUUAUUUUUGGUUCAAAUAAGAACUGUACACUUGGUGAAGGAAAAUGUUGGGGAGUAAUGGAUAGACUUUAGUCAAAAUUUGCUAUUAGAAUAAAUUGUGGAUUUAGUAUUUACUAAUACAAUUAUCGAUAUAGCACAUUUAGUAUUUUAGUUUUUAGUUUGAAUCCCAAUUAAAGGUUGACACAAAUUCAAUAAACCUUAACAUAUACAUAUGAGAGCAUGAGACACAAGGGGAAGAUUGUAUUUAUAGAAUAGUAUAAAGUUUCAAGGUUCCAGUUUCAAUUGAAAAUGUUGAAGGACAACCCUGAACCAAAAAGGACCGUCCCAACCAUUUCCAAGCUAUGGUGUUAACAGCAACCCCCAAGAUACAAACUUCAGGAUCCAGUUAACAACAUAUAUAUAGGCAAGAAGAAAAAGCUGAAACCUUUCCUCGAUGUCAUUGUUUAUGAUUUCAGAACCCUCUCUAUGGCAGCUAUAUAGAAGUCCUUCGGCAUGGUGCCAACAACAGAUUCCCGCUUCUCUCCAUUUUUGAACAGUAACACCACCGGUACUGCCUUUAUUUCAUAAUCCUCUGCAAUUGGAAAGUCAUCGUCGGUAUUCAGAAUGAAGCAGCUGAGUCUCCCGGCAUACUCUCCUGCAAUCUCAUCAAUAAUCCGAUGGACCAUUCUACAGGGGCCACACCAGCUUGCAUAAAAUUCUACAAGAACAGGGGAAUCAGUGUCCAACACUGAUUUCUCCCAUGUGUCUUUAGUAACAGCAGCAGCUGUACAUAAUCGACGGAACAAGGUCACUUUAGCAUUCAAAUCUUCUGUACUAUCAUCACUAAGUUCACAGCAGAACUCAACAAAAAAGAAACUAGAAGCAAUGAACUGAAUAUAAACAAGCAAGCUAUAAAAUCCAUUGUGGUCUUGAUACUGAAACAGCAUUAGAUCAUUACCUUUGGGAAACAAAGAGAUAUCUUGUUCAAUAGUUUCUUUCAGCUUCUAAAAGUUUAGAAAAUAAAUUAGUAUAAUAUCUCAACUGAUUCAACCACUAUGAUCUAUGACAAAACAUUGAUCACCCUUAAUAUCUAAUUAUAAGGUUACAAGGAGAACUGACCAUCUCACCUUUUCCAAAAUUCUCUCUUCUAUGUGGUGUAUUAUUUCAAACUUAAAAACAUAGCAGGAUGUUGGACAUCGCAAUGAUAAUUUUUUUAACUGGUAGAUCGUAUCCAUUUUAGCAAAGGAAUCACCUCUGGAAACUUCAAAGAGCUCGCAUAUAGUUUAUCUUCACAGCAUGUGAAAAAAUUACCCUCGGGUCUAAUCUACCAGGAUACAGAGCAACAAAUCUUCACGGAAUUGGUUCGGACUUUGGAUCUACACAUAGCUGUGUUGCAUACAAUCAGUAUAUUUGUAGAUCCAGUAUCAGAUUCAUCCAGCUAAAGUCAUAAAGAGACAAAAAAAAUUCCAAAUACCCACCCUACUAAUUACUAUGAAAUUAAUCCGAAAAUUCCCUCAUAUUAUGGAGCUAUUUUUUACUCUUUCUUUUUCCUCCGUGAAUGUCUUGUUCAUGGAGCUGUUCAGGGAAGGAAAUUAAUGAUCGAGCUUUUUUGUGAAAAGCUUUAGGAAAGUAUCAGUGAAAGGCCUUUGUUUGCUGUUAUAAAUUCCGCCAACUUUACACAUCUUUAAUUAGCAUCUUAUUUCCAAAUAAAAAACACCAAACAUAGGGAAAAGUGAGUGAUCUACGAUGCUCACAGUUGUAAAUCAAGGCUUCAUUGAAGGUUGAAAACCAACAUUUUCACACUUGAUUGAAAUCACCAAAUCUUCUAAGUCAAACAAUUUCCUAGAUUUGUGGCUAGUAAUUACAACUGGGAUCAAGUGAAUAUUUGAACAAAGACACACUCUGAUUGCAUUAAGCUAGAUUUGUAACAUUUUGCCUCUAGUGUUUUCUUUCUUCAAGUUUCUGGGCAACCAAUAAUCAAGCAUCACGGGAUACGCCACCAUUCAACAAAAAUGGAAUAAUAUAUCCAGUAGUAUGGUAAGUGGUAGAAUCAGAUCAAAGAAAUACCCACCAAUUCAAAAAGUAGAGAGGAGAAAGAGAAUACCUUUGGGUGCACGAGCAGAAAGGACCUUAGGAGAGAGAGGAGGGGCAUUACGAAGCUUGAAGGACCCAUUUUUCAAAGGAAAGAAGAAGGUUGAAGAGUUGAGGUUAAAGGGGAAGUGAGAAGAAAUGGGGCGGGGAGGAAGGCUGCUGGAAGCAAAAUAAGACGGAGUAAUCGAAGCAGAAGAAGCCAUUACUGAAGUAAGAAAGAAAGAGGAAUCUGUUUGGUUCGGUUUGGUUCAGGCAGAAUUGCUUACUGUUUUUUUUCCGUAUCAGCAGGCGCUCACCAUAAAACAAAGGAAAUGAAUUGAAUUGACAACAAGAGAUGCUGAGAUUACUAAAUAAAUAUCACGUUUUCUUUCUGUUCUGUUGAUUUUUCGAUCUCAGACAAAAAAAAAAGGUGGGCCCCUAUUAAGUCUGGUUUGUUAGGUGGCUCUGAGGAUGGGCAUGGGCCCAAUAAGCCCCUUUCCCUAAUUGGAUUCAGCCACUCCCAAUCACAACAACUCCACAUGCACUCACUCAGUCUCACACUUUGAGAUUAAAUGAAACUCCUAAUCUAUUAUGGUUCCAUUCACUAGUGGAGCUGAAUUCGACUACCUUAAUGUUGGCAUGAACCAACCGAUUACUUGGUUAAUCCUGGAUUAAGCUUAUGGAAACCGCUUGUCCUUGACCAAAAGGCCUCAAGGUGUGAGUAUCCGAAGAUUUGAGUUUUUAGAACGAUCAUAAAAUAAAAAUGACGAUGCCAGCGUGUUUCCGGUGGCUAAUAUUUGAAUAACAAGGUGGCACAUUGCAAAGAAAACCUGAACCUAGUGAGCUAAUACGGGCUUAUGGUACCACAAGCAUCAUGAAUAUAAACUUGACAUGUUGACCUCAAUCAAAGACACCGAAACCUUACAACAGGACUUUUACAUUUGAAACAAGGAAUUAUUGAUCAUGACAUGCAUUGCAUUAUUAUACAGAUUUUUUAUUGCAUAGUCUUCCUGUUUCCCAUAUUUUCUUUUCAGGUUAGAAGAGUACGGAUUGACAAGUUAAUGAUUCCAUUUACAUUCGGAAUACACCAUAUUUGGUAUCUUCUAAUGGGCGAUUCAUGGAAGCAGAGAUGCAAAGCCCCACAAUUUUCCUGGUAUCAGCAGGAUCUAUAAUACCAUCAUCCCAGAGCCUAGCUGUUGAGUAGUACGGAUUCCCCUCUCUCUCAUAUGCCUCCAUAACCUUAGCCUUGAACUUCUCUUCUUCCUCACUUGUCCACUAUAGUACCAAAAUGUGCAAGCACAGAGAAAUAAGCAUACGAAUAUAAGCACUUUGCGAUGCAAUAGAAGAAAAACAAACAUUCACUCUUCAAUAAGAAACUAAAAGCUUACCUGAAUUCCUUGCCUUUUCUUGUUGGCCCCUUCAAUUUGAGACAGCACUCCAGCAGCCUAAUUGUUUCCGGAAUAGUUCAGUAAUCAGCCAAAACUCCAAAAGUUCCAAGUAAACAAAACUAACAAGAUAGUCAACAGAUGUCUGCAUAACUAUUAAAAUGUCUGGCUACCUAAAGCAGAAUGGAGGAUGGACGAUUGUGGAGUUUAUAAUAAUUUCAAUGCAGCACAUCGAUUCAUGUUUCAGUAGAUAACGACAAAGAAGCCCACUUAUUUAGAAGGCAAGUAAGCUGCAAGCAUGAUGAAAUUUCAUGAUAUAUUGUACACAAUUAUAGGAUGACAGAAAUCCAAAUUCUUAGAUCAGAGAAGAUUUAACUAUUCUUAUUAUGUAAGAACGUAUUGAUUCACCUGUGCACCGCCCAUCACAGAUAUUCUUGAAUUUGGCCAAAGGAACAGGAAAUUUGGGUUAAAAGCACGGCCACACAUUGCAUAAUUUCCCGCACCAAAACUUCCACCAAUCAUAAUAGUCACUUUUGGCACCUGUAAAAUCAUCAUUCAAGAGAGAUGCUAAAGUAAAAAUUAUAGACAUUUCCGGCUGUUGAUUUCUAUCAUGUACCCCAGGUGAUAUAUGUCAAAGUAGACGAUGCAACAUUUAUACAACUAUGGAGGUAAAAGAAAAAAAAAUGCAACUUAUUUAUGCAUGGUCCAAUCAGUGUAUAUUAUAAGAAUGAUACAGAACCAAUAAACAAAUCUGGAAGAUGGUACCUACCUUUGCACAAGAAACUGCCAUCACCAAUUUUGCUCCAGAUUUUGCAAUACCAUUUGCCUCGGAUCUUGAGCCAACCUAGCAAAUGAAGUAAAAAAAUAAUCAGUAUGGUAGUGCUAAUAAAUAAAUAAUCACAUGCAGUCAUUUCAAACCAAGUGCAUAAAUUCUACUAAAUCAGUUUGAUGAGCAACACUCUGCAUGAUUCGUGAAUGCAACAACAGAACACAUUAGAUAGACUUCCAUCAAAAAAGUAACGAAAGAAAUAGUGGGACCAUGUACCAUAAACCCAGUGAUGUUCUGAAGAAAGACCAAAGGAAUGUUACGCUGAGAACAAAGUUCGAUGAAAUGGGUUCCUUUAAGUGCAGAUUCGUUAAAUAAUAUCCCAUUAUUACCAAGGAUCCCUACAGGUUGUCCGUAAAUUCUAGCAAAACCUGUUACAAGUGUCUGCACCAACAUCAUCAAGGUUAGAAGGUUCAUGCAUAUUAUAGGAAAAAAGAAUUGAAAAUCCAAGAUAUAUGCAAGUCCUCACAGUUCCAUACAAUUUCUUGAACUCAUCAAACUCACUUCCAUCAACAAUUCGAGCAAUAACUGAUCGAACAUCAAACUGCUGCUUGUGGUCUACUGGUGCAAUGGAACGGAGCUCCUUAACAUCAUACAAUGGUUCUUUAAAUUCAAGGUUUGCGGGUGGAGAUGAACUCAACAUCCCUUGCUUCCCAGCCAAGUGCAAGUUCUUAACAAUAUUCCUCCCGAGAGCAAGUCCAUGCAUUUCAUCUGAAGAAAGAUAUUAAAAAAAUAAUUGCAAACGCUCACAUCAUGCUAAAGUUCAGUGAUUCCAGCAGCUGGAACAGAGGAUAAGGAAACAAUACCUUGAGCAAAAUAAUCUGAAACCCCAGAGGUCUUACAAUGAACAGUAGCACCCCCUAAAUCCUCUGCAGACACUUCCUCUCCUGUAGCAGCCUGUCAAAACUUCCCUUUUAAGUAUCAUCUAAUCCAAACAAAAACACAUUGGAAGAGAUAAGUGCAUUGGAAGAACUAACUUUGACAAGAGGUGGUCCAGCUAGAAAAAUGGUACCAUUUCCUUUAACCAUCACACUUUCAUCAGCCAUGGCAGGAAUAUAGGCACCCCCAGCUGUGCAAGAGCCUAAAACCAAUGCAAUUUGAGGAAUGCCUUGAGCAGACAAGGUAGCUUGAUUAUAAAAAAUUCUACCAAAAUUUUCCUUGUCUGGAAAAACCUCAGCUUGCUUUGGAAGAAAAGCACCCCCACUAUCAACUAAAUAAACACAAGCUAAUUUGCAUUGAGCAGCAAUUUCUUGAGCUCUUAGAUGUUUCUUAAUGGUGAUAGGAUAGUAAGUUCCUCCUUUAACAGUCGGGUCAUUAGCCACAAACAUACAAAGUCUCCCAUGAACUGGACCAAUUCCUGUUAUUAUUCCACCUGAUGGUAAAGGGUCUUCGUAUAAUUCAUGCCCUGCAAGCUUUUUACAUUAAAUUUUCAAUAAGAAAGCAGAACCCGCCAGAUUAAAAAAGGAAAAAAAAAAGACCCAAUUUAGAAGAGAAGAAAAGGAAAAAAGAACCUGAGACAAUUCGAGGAAAGAAGAACCAGGGUCAAGAAGACGAUCGAUUCGUUCCCUAGGGAGAAGCUUAUUUCUGCUCCUGUUCCUUUUCACAGCAGUUUCUCCUCCUCCAGCAAGAACCUUAAAUCAAAUGAUUUAUUUGUUUUAAAGUGAUAGCACUAAGAGAAGAAUUGGGUAUAAAUUUUAAAGGGAAAAGAGGAAGGAACCUUGUUGAUAUGGGAUUGAAGGUCAGACAAGAGACGUUCCAUGGCAUCGGAAUUCUGGACAAAAUUGUCGGAGCUACGAUUGACCCCAGCAGGGAGGAUUCCUAUGGAGAAGUGUUUGGUCUGUAGGUGGUGGAUUGGAUUAGCAAUAAGACAUGGGGCUGAAUUUGCACUCCCAAAAGCUGAAGUUGAAGCUGCUUUCCUCACCAGAGCCCUUAUCAUUUCUAACUCUUGAUUGUCUGUCUCAGUUGCCAAAAGAAAAUCAAAAUUAGCUGAACAGGCAGUCCACUGUAGAGUUUAUCGAAUACGUCAUUUUAUGAUUUUAAUAGUUUAUCAUUGUCUCCCGUCGGUAAAAGUACCAGGGAAGCCCCCGAACUUAAGGGAAGAUUUCAUUUUGGCCCCUUUACUGAAAAAAUAGACAAAUUAAUCUUUAUAUAUUUCGAAACUUGCAAAUUAACACCUCCUUAAAUUUUUUUUAAAAUUCACGAUGAAAAUUAUUUUUUUGAUUAAACUAUAAAUGAUCAUCUAACUAUGCCUUUCGUUCUAUUUUAGUCACACAAUUUUUUUAAUUUAAUCACAAAUUUUUUAAUAUUAAAUAUUUUAGUUACUCUGAUGUGGGCUUUUUUAUUGGGCUAGUAACAAAAUUAGCCCUCUAAUAUUUACAUAUUUUAUCAACUUGAUCCCAAAUAUAAAAAAGCUUCAACAAAUUUAACCCUCAAUGUUUACAAAAUCUAUUAUUUUAGUUCUAAUUCUAAAAAUAAUAAUAAAUUUCACCCUCAAUAUUUACAAAAUCUAUCAAUUUAGUACUAACUCUAAAAUUUUAAAAAAUAUUUUUUAAAAUUUAUUUUUAGCCUUUUAUAACCCAUUGGCUAACCCAUGUGAAAUAUUGAAAUAAGACAAAUAGUACCCCUUUCAAAUCACCUACUACAAUUUUUUUUACUAUAAUUUAAGCUUCACAUUGGACCAAACUAAUUGAUUUGGAACCUAUAUAGAAUAAUUUGAUGCAUUACUACCCGAACAAUUUAACGCCUUUAUUUUCUUUUGGCUCUUAAAUUUUUUGUGUUUUAUCCUAAUUUUUUAGUGUUUUUUGCAAGUGACUUGAAAGAGGGUACUUUUUUUAUUAUUUUAAUAUCUCACAUGGGUUAGCCAUAAGAAUGACAAAAAAAAAUCGAAUCAAACAGGUUUUGAGCUGAUUUGACCUAAUAAUGUCGGAGGUUUUUUUUGUAGUUGGGGUCAAGGCAGGGUGGGUUAAAUUUUAAAAAUUGUUGAGUCGGGUUUCGAAUGAAACCGCCCACCACGCUUCGAGAUGUUUAUGAAAUUACCUUCUAUACAUAUUUAAUAUUAAUUAAAUUAAAUUAAAAAUCCUUAAAAUUUAUUACUACUGGUCUCAUUCUAUUGUCUCUAUACUAGUCCCCUUUCACCUUGAAAGGUUAUUUCCCCUAUUUUCUAUUUCUUAAUUUAGUAAUUUAUUAAAAGAAUCUUUGUUCGUUCUUUUCUCUUUUGUGCUAUAACCACAACAUGUGUGUAAAAAUGCAUUAACACACAAUUCCAGAGAUAAAUAAUUAAGAAAAUCUAAUAAAAAAAUGAUACCAAAAACCUUUCAUUUUUAAUUUUUUAAUUAAUCACAAUUCUACUAAAAAUUAAAAAUAAAAUUAAACUUGGGUCGGAUCAGAUCAGAGCUAGUUAUGCUAUUAAUUUUCAGGUUUGGGUUUGGAGUGGGUUAAAUUUUUUAAAGUCGAAGCAUGGUGGUAGAGCAUCAGGGUGAGGCAAGGCAAGCAAAAGACUACCUACCUCACUGCCAUCACUAGUUAGUCAAUAGGUUAUAAAGGACUAAAAAUGAACUUUCUUUUAAAAUAUAUAUAUUUUUAAAAUUUUUAUAGUUAGGACAAAAUUGAUAAAUUUUUUAAAUAUUUAGGACUAAAUUUAUUGAUUUUUUAUAUUUAUGAUCAAAUUGAUAGAAUGUGUAAACGUUAUAAAGCUAAUUUUAUUACUAGACCAAUAAAAAAAGCUCAAAUAAGCUCAAAGUGAUUAAAAUAUUAAAUUUUGUGAUUAAAUCGAAAAAAUUAAUAGUUGGGUAACCAAAAUAGAAUAAAAUGUAUAGUUAGGUGACCAUUUUUAUAGUUUACCCAUAAAAAAUAAUUUUCAGCAUGAUCGACGUCAUUAUUUAACAGAAAAUUUUAAUGAACAGACUAAUUUGUACAUUUCAAAAUGUAUAAGGGUUAAUUUGUUAAUUUUUUCAGUAGAGGGCCGAAAUGCAAUCCAUUCCUAAGUAUCAGGGAUUCCCCGGUAUUUUUACCUCUCCCGUUGCGUUUGCGUGUAAUUCAUAUCCAUUUCCAUUGGAUCCUGAAAAAGCAGCGUUCUACCCACUCUCCCUGUACUUCGGAUGCCACAACGACAUCAUUGUGAGUCACUGUGUAACUGUAACACAAGAGUGUUACAAUUUUUGUUUUUCAAGUUUUACCGGUUACAAGUAAUUUAACUCUCAUUUCAACUAAAUUUCGGGUAAUUUGCAUAGUUGGUGCUUUAAUUAUUAGCAUGUUUUAGUGCACACUCUCAAAACUUUAACAAAUCUAUAUUCAAAGCCCACUUUAAAUAUUAAAACUCAAAUUUCAAAUUUUGAAAUUUUAAUAUUACAAAAUUUACAAAUAGUCAAUUUACAAACUUAUGUGAAAUUACUCGAACAUCAACGAAGUUACAGCUAGCAACAACGAACUUGCCUCAUUCAAUAUGCUCAGCGAACUCAAUUGGUAUGCCAUCUCCAUGUGUCCCAUACAUGUAUCCUUAACAAGUGAUGUAGCAAUGCACACCCAACUCAACUGUCAGGUCUGAAUAUGAAACACCAAAUUGAUUGUCGAAGCAACUCGAAUUAGCUUCUGUUAAAUAAUCAAAACAAGCAUCAAUCAAAUAUCACAAUAAACAAAACGUUCAUUUGGUCUAUAAACAUUUAACAGUCAUUUAAAACACUUUAGAAUCAUUUUAAACUAAGUUCUAGGUGUUUGGGGAUGAUCAGGACCAAAUUCGAGUUUCUGGGAGUCAAAACAAAGGAGAGAACCUGUUUUAAUAUACUUGUACUUGUAAAAGUUUGACUUCUACUGGUAUAAGGCCCUGCUAUUUCUCAUUGUCUAUUGACUUAAUUGUACCGACACAUUUGUCCACUUGUACCAGUAGUAGUUUGUUAAGACCCAAAAUUGACCCCAAAACUCAUUUAGUUUAGUCCAAAAUAUUACCAAAUCAUCUCAAUACAUUAGGGGACAUUAUAAACAAGUUCCAAACACCAUUCUAAGCAUAUCUAAAACAUCUUUAAACACGUGGUCACAACAUAUACACAUCAUCACAACUCCAUACAUGAAAAACAACUUACUUUCUAUAAACAACAUAUACACAUCAUCACAAUUCAUGGGCUAACCACAACUUCCAAUUGUUCGUUUUGUUAGAGGAUGAAAACAACACUUCUAGCUCAUGUAGGAUUUGGUUUGUUACUAGGCAGUCUCUAAACACGUGUGUGACUGACUCCUCAGCCCUCCGACAAAUAGGACAAUAGCUCCAUGCAACAAUUCUCCUCAGCUAAAGAUUACAAAAGUAGGCAAACAAUUAUUAGCAAUCUUCUAACAUGUAAUUUUGAUUUUGCUAUCAACAUCUAGGCUCCACUGUUCUUUUUGUUAAAAGCCUUUAGCAUUGUAUUUUUAUUUGUUGUAUCAUUGUUUUGUGCCAUGAGCCACAUGUAUCCAUUCUUGGCCAAAUUACCUCCAGUAUUAUCCCUCACCACACCAGCUUAUUCGUUCGAACAAACCGAGAGAGUGGAAUUGACACAAUUUUAUUCACCUACUCACUAUCAAACAACUUAUUCAACACAUCUAAUUUCCAGAUAGCCGAGUUUGCAUCAAUUAAGUCUACCACUAAUGUAUAAUUAAUAUUGAUGUCUUGACCCCUCACCCUUCUUUAUCUAGUUACAGGUAGCCAUGAAUCAUUCUAGAUAGUUAUCACCUCCCCACUGCCCACCCUCUACCCACAAUCAUCAUCUAAAAGCCUUCAAGCAUUCCAAAUACUCUGCUAGGUAUAUGAAGGGUAAGACCCCAAUCUUGAACUCAUAAAAUCACCUGUAUUAUAAUAUUUAGCUCUCAUAACACGAGCAAACAAGCUUUCUGGCUUCAUCGACAAUCUCCAUGCCUGUUUCGCUAAUAAUGUUAUAUUAAAUUUGCCUAAAUCCCGAAAGCCUAAGCCACAAUCACAUUUCGACAUACAUAAUAGUUUUUGUUGGCACCAAUGUAUCCUCCUCUUUGUUCUACUAUUGCGUCACCAGAAUUUACUCAUAAUACCCUCUAAUUCUCGACACAAAGUAAUCGACAAUAGAAAACAUUGCAUAGCAUAUAUCGGGAUUGCUUGCAAAAUUGAUUUAAUAAAUACCUCAUUUUCCCCUGUCGAAAGAAGCCGCACAGUCCAACUCUCUAUAUGCUUGAGAAACCUUUCUUUGAAAGUAACAAAUGCUUCCUUCUUGCUUUUCCCAAUAAGUGUCGGCAGACCCAAGUACUUUUCUGGAUUAUUGGAAACUCGAACACCCAACACAUCCCUAAUUCGUUCAUGCAAAAUGCUAUCAAUAUUCCUGCUAAAAUAAACAAGUGACUUAUCAAAUUAAUUACUUAGCCAGAAACCCCUUCAUACUUUAACAAAAUCACUUUCAUUGCACUUGCACCCUCCUCACUUGUUUUACCAAAAAGAAUGCUAUCAUCAACAAAAAGCAAAUGAGUCACUGUCAAACCUUGCCUUCCCGCUCUUUCUCCCUGAAUUAAACCUUCCUCUUUCGUCAAAUUAAGCAAGCUCGAUAACCACUCUGCACAUAUGAGAAAUAAGUAUAGGCUUAAGGGAUCUCCUUGUCUUAGUCCCUAAGUAGGCAGAAACAAAUCCCCCUUAAUCCCAUUAAAAAUAUCUGAAUAUGACACCGUUUUCACAGACUUCAUCACAAGUUCAAUCCACCCUCUAAUAAAGCCCAUACGUUCUAUCAUUCUUUCCCAAAAACCCUACUCUACCCUAUCAUAGGAUGAUGUCCAUGAAACUAACUAAAAAUACGACAAAAGCAAGUGCACAUAUCGAUAAAUAGUAUAGUUACAGUGAGCAAAGAUAUAAUUUCCAUGAUGACUAAAAGUAUUAGUAAUUACCAUAUUUCUAUUAUUUAACCGAAAAAUUGAAGUAAUUGAAUUAAACUAAAAUUAACUAAAUUAAUUAACUAAGAACUCGACAAAGAACAACUCAGGAAAAUAAUUGAAUAAUAACCAAGAAAUGAAACAAUACCUAGAAAAGAAUCCACCUAGACUGCAUAUGUCAUUAUCAAUCUGAAUUAAACAAUUUAUUCAUUUUAUAUCUUGAUCAGUAGAAAUCCCUAAAUUAUGCUAAUAUCUCUCUUCAAGACUAAAAGUAACUGACUCUACGUUGAUUAGUUGAAAUUUCUUUCUAAUUAAAACCCCUAUUAUCGCAUUAACUCGAUCUAUGAAUUCCCUAUUAAAUUUGACUCUAAUCCAGUAGAUUUAUGUCGUUCUCCACUCAAUUAUGCUAGAUCUAUUCUUAAACAGGUUUAUUCCUCCUUUAAAUUUUUCACAUCAAACAUGAAUUAAUAAUCCAGAAAUAUUAAAUCAAGAAUUAAGCACACAUAACUGAGAACAAGAUUCAAGUAUUUAUUGUGUAAAAUAGAAAUCAAAAGACAGAAUUCAUCAUAGGGUUCAUCUCCCCUAGGUAUUUAUAAAAUUAGUUCAUAAUUGCAAAUAAAAACAUUUCAAAGUUAGUAUAACCACAAGAAAUAAAGAAACUCAUAAUAAACUUUAGAGAAAUUAAAAGGAGAUCUUCAAUCCAGAUGGAAACCCGCUUUAGAGUCAACUUCAAUGGUGUUUCCUGAGUUGUUUUCUUCAAUACUCUUUGACGGCUCUCUUUCCUCUUCUUAUAUUUGGUAUUUAUAUGUCUGAAAAUGCCCGAAAAACUUAAAAAUUAUGUUUUUUCGCGUAUUUGGAGUGCGAAUUGUGAAAUCUACACAGUCUGGCACAUGACCGUGUGGCAACCAAUACGGCUCACUGUAACACCCUUAACCCAUAUCCUCGCCAAAAUAGGGUUACGGAGUAUUACCGAAGUUUAUAGAACAAAUACAAUUAAUUCAUGUUAUUUACUAUUUAUAUCUGAAACCAAUCAUAUUCAAUCAUAUUGUCCCUUAAAUGAACCCUCGAGGUCCAAUUUAUGCAUUUGAAACAAGUCGGGACUAAAUCGAGAACAUAGAGAAUUUUUCGCGAAAUUUCAAAAUUUUUCUUUAGUGUAGGGGACACACGCAGAUGUAUCCAGGCUAUGUGGCUCACACGGCCAAGUGACACGCCCGUGCCCCAGGCCGUGUGGGUAUUCGAUGUGAGGCACACGGUCGUGUCCCUACCUAUGUCCAUACCCAUGUAACUCUCUGAUUGGGUCACAGGGUCAACCACACGCCCAUGUGUUAAGACAUGUGAACAAUUUAAUUGUAAUACCCCUACCCGUAUUCAUUGCCGGAAUAGGGUACGAGGCAUUACCGGAGUUUACGAAUUAAAUUUUUUUUUAUAUUCAAUAUAGCCCAUUUAUAAAUAUCUAACCUUCCCUGCAAUAUUAAAUCGAGACCAAUCCACAUCAACCAAAUCAAUUCAACAUAUUUUCAAGAUAAAUUCAUGCAUAUUUAUAAGAUAACAUCAUCACAUAUCUGAAAUCAGGUUUGUUAACCAUAUUAAUGGCUAACUUUACAUUCAUUUCACGUUAACAUUUACUUUGUUAGCUUAUACAUGCCAUUGAUUUCCAAAAUAAAGUUUCUUUAUAUACCGAAAUCCUAAGGUUGACAGUGUGAUGUGUCUCAGACCAAAUCCGACCUCCGAGCUCUUAACACUACAAAACAGGGAAAAAGGAAACAGGGUAAGCACUUCGUGCUUAGUAAGCUCAUGUAACAAGAAUUAUACUUACCUAAUAUUUUCAAUACAAUACAAUAAACAUCCAUAUAUCCAUUCAAUGCAUUAUUGCCCUAAUAUGCACAAACUCAACAUUCAAGUUAGUACAAUAAUUUUCAUGUACCAAUAAUAUAUACCAUGAUUGAUGAUUGAUGUGUUCAUCCAAUACCAUGAUUUCCAUUUCCUUGUUAUUUUUUCAUAUUUAUCCCGUUGAAUUUAUCGGAAUUUCGAUGGAUUUUCAGAGGUACACUUUUAGUGUACAAUUCCGGGUCCGUCAAUUCAUAUUCAUGUGCGCACAUUUCCAUUUCAGAGAGCACACUCCCGCGAACCUCAACCUUGCAGCGGGAUUGCCAGUCCAGGCUAAAUCCCCUGCAAUAUAAACUCAUAGAGUAUUGUCGGGAUUACCAGUCUAGGCUAAAUCCCCUGCAACGACAAUUACUCUAAUGAGCUUGGAUCUGAAUUACCAAUCCAGGUUAAAUUCAGACCCUAAUUCGGAUUACCCGUCCGGGCUAAAUCCAUUUUACACAUAUUCUUCGGGAGGGCUAUAUCAGGAUAGGAUCACCCGUCCGGGCUAGAUCCUUUUUACCGUCAAUUCCUUUUCAGAGAUCCAUCGAAUUUUCCUUUCAUUCAACCGGGAUUUCUUCCCAUUUUAUCAAAUAUAUCAAUGUUUCAUUAAUUUUCAUACAAUGAACACUCAAAUCAUAUUCACAUCAAUAACAUACAAUCUCAAGCAUUUAAGAAUAUAAUUCAAGUUACACGAACUUACCUUGAUACUUAUUUGUAAACAAUAAAAAUCUACUAAUCCCGAACUUUUUCCUUUCCUCGAUCUAGAUUCGUAUUUGAAUCUUCCGGAUCUAAAUAAAUAAAUUUAAUUAUCAAUUUAAUACAUUUCAUGUUCAUAUGCAACAUUCUCUAUAAUUCAACUAUUAUUUAUAGUUCAUUCAAAGCUGUCUACUUGAGUUAUAGUCACUAAAUUAUUUAUAACUUGAGCUACGGAACUCCAAAUUAAGAUCCGUUAAUUUUUCCUGAAACUAAACUCAUAUAUAUUUUUACCAUAAAAUUUUCAUAAUUUUUUGUUUAUCCAAUAAAUACAUUUUAUUCUUUAAAGUCACCCCUGUUCUGCUGUCGACAGUUCUGACCCUUCUUCACUAAAAAUUAAUUAUCUCUUCAUAUAGAAUUCAAAUAAUGUUCUCGUUUGUUUCUAUUAAAAAUAGACUCAUUAAGGAUUAUAUACAUACAAAUUUAAGCCCAUAAUUGUUUUUAUUCAAUUUUUUAUGAUUUUUCAAAGUCAGAACAGGGGAACCCGAAUUCAUUCUGACAUUGUCUCAAAAAAUUCAUUAUAUCUCCAAAUUUACAAAUUCAUUGCUUACACUAUUUCUUCUAUGAGAAACUAGACUCAAUAAGAUUUAAUGCCAUAUUUUUUUCAUCUUCUAAUUCUAUUUCUAAAAUUUAUGGUGAUUUUUCAAAGUUAGUCUACUGCUGCUGUCCAAACUGUUUUUGUGCAAGCUGUUUAUUACCAUUUUUCCCCUAAGCUUUUAAUAAAUGAUAAUUUCGUCCCUACUCAAUUAGCCUCUCAAUUGAGCUGAUUUUUCUCAAUUAACAUUUUAUUCUAUCACCUUAAACUAGUUUACAACCUUUAGGAAUCAGAAUUUCAGCAAUAGACUUUAAUUCCAAGCAUUUUCACAAUUAGCUCCUAAAAAUCAAUUUCUAUUGAAAUUACCUAAUAAAAUCAUCUCAUAAACAAAUUAAAGCUUUAAUUUCAUUAUAUUUCAUCAUAAAAUUACAGAACUCAAUCAUGGUGACUUUCAAUUUCAUCCAUGAAAUCAAAAACUAAUGAAUUUAAUAGUAGGACCUAGUUGUAAAAGUCUUAGAAACACAAAAAUUACAAGAAAAAGGCAAGGAUUAACUCACUUGGUGCAAAAAUUAUGAAAUAACAGCUUAGAGAACCCUCCUAUGGCAUUUUUAGCUGCUGGAAUUGAAGAGAAAUGAAGAGAAAUCUAGAUAUUUCCUAUUUAGUCCUAGCUUUAUUUAGUUAAUUUUGCAAUAUUCUAAUUUUACCCUUAAUUUAUCAAUUUUUCUGCUGAUUUCAUACCCUUGCCGUCCAGCCCAAAUAAAUUUUGGGUCUAAUUGCCUUUUAAAUCCUUUCUCAUUAGAUUCUUAAGCUAUUUAAUCACUCUAGCAACUUUUAUACCUAUUACAAUUUAGUCCUUUUAAUUUAAUUGACUACCCAAAUAUCAAAAUUUCCUAAAUAAAUUUUAAUACCACAUUAAUAACAUUUCAUAAAUAUUUAUAAAAUUAUUUUUGACUCGGUUUUACGAGAUAGAGGUCUCGAUACCUUGUUUUUACCCAAUUUCUUCAAUAAUUUCUUUUUCUAUCUAUAUUUUCAUACGAUUUUCCUAUCAUAUCAAUUUUCAAGCAAAAAUAUUGAAAUAAAUUUCUCUUUAAAUCGGAUCUAUGGUUACGAAACCAUUGUUCCGAUAACCUUGAAUUUAGGCCAUUACAUUAAUUUUCAAUAAUUAAGAGCAGAGGUCACAUGGCCAAGUCACACACCCAUGUGUUAGGUCGUGUGACACACACGGCUGAGUCACACGCCCGUGUCUCUACCAGUGUGAGAAAUUCAAAGCAUUCUGUUUCUCAAAUUUUAAUAUACAAGGAACACACGACCAAAUCGCACGCCUGUGCGCAUGGCCGUGUGUCACACACGGUUGAGACACACACCUAUGGCUCUGUCCGUGUGGACAAAAUAAGGCCAUUUCGAAGCCUUAUUUCUCAUCCAACCUGGCAUCAACCUAUCCAACCAAAUUUUUUUUAUACAAUUACAAGUCACAAUAAAACCUUCAAUUCAAGCCAAUUUUAAAUUCAAAACAUGUCAUAACAUCCCAUUUAUCCAAAUAUUUAAUCUUACCUAAAUGACCAUAUAAACGUAUAAGUAUAUUUUGCCUAUUCAUGCAACCAUUAAUAUAUUUAUGUAACUUCCAUCAUUCAACCUUUUCAAUACACACAUCAAGCAUGAUAAGGCCUUAUAUAACUACAUCAAAAUAUGCUUAACACUAGCCAAUCCAAUAGCUAGUUACAACCAAAACAUUAUCAUGCCAACAUUGGCUAAUUAGCCUAUACAUGCCAUUAUGACCAAAAUUAGUUUUCUAAUUGUACCAAAAUGAGCCUAGGGAUAGUAUGAUGAUACUCCGACCAGCUUCCAACCUUUACGAGCUUCCAAGUACUAUAAAACAAAGGAAAAUAAAACAGAGUAAGCAUUUAACGCUUAGUAAGUUUGUAUGGAAAUUUAACUUACCAUUCAUUUCCAUUAAAGUAAACAUACAAAAUGCAUCCAAGAAAUUUGGCU
rnacentral:lncRNA from 1 species